GUGGAUGGUCAGGGUGACAUUUUUGUUGGAUUUCAGGAUGCUGUAGAAAGAUUGUUGAAAAUUGUUUUUAGUUACUGCAGUAAACUUUAGUAUAAGAAGUUGCUAGGUUUAAGAUUUUUGAAUUUUAAAUUAUGAAAUUUUUUUGUUUAAGUUGGUUACUUCCAGUUGUUUUCUUUUCUCAAAUCUCUCCAAGUAAGGAUAAAGUCUGGAUACAUACUACCUUUUUCAGACCCCACUUAUAGGAUUACGUUGGGUAUGUUGUUGAAGUUUUCACUAGUUCAAAUUAAAUGUCAUUGUAAUAGGCUCAUAGCUUUUAUACCUUUAUAAAGGUUGCUCAUUUGAUCCCAAGAUCCAAAUAAGGCUACAAAGUCAAUGUCUUAGUACUUGGUCGAAUAAGUGUAUCUUAAGAUCAUCCAGUUAACAAUCAAAGACACUGACAAUCAGAAUAUCCUCUAUGCACAAUGCAGCUAUGUAAUAAAGCUCACAACUCGAUUAAGGCUGCAACAUGUAAUUUGUUUUGUUUAUUUUAUGACACGAGAUGAAAUCAUGCAUCUACAAGCAUAUUCAUACUGAAUUUCAUGACUACUUCAGAGUUCUUAGCAUAUCUUCUCACAAAGACGAAUGGUUAUAGCUGAGGCAGAAGGCCAUCAUAAUUUAGGUAUCCUAUGUUCAAAAUUCUACAAAACUUGAUGAAUGGCACACCGGUAAAUUGCAGUCAGACUGUCGAGACAUAAAAUUGGUCUCCAGCAGUCCAAGCCAUUACAUUUGCGGGAAGAAAUGGAUUUUUCAGAUCAGAACUAUUUCCGCUAUCCUACUAAGCCUGAAGUUUGAGCAGAAACUAACAUCAGCUGAUGAUCAUCUUGCUCAAGAAUUCAGCUUGCUUGGGAAAGUAUUCCAACAGUUCAUCUUUGGUCACCCAGACAAAAUCAUCACAUUUUCUAAUAUCAAAUUUGUUGGCUGCAAUAACUUGGGAUUUGAAGAAGAAGCGCUGCCACAAUAAAUAUAGAAUAUAUACAUAAGAAGCACAAACUUUGCAGAAGCUAUCAGGGAAUUUCUCUCCCUCACUCCCUGUGGGAUGACAGAAUUUCUUACUGUCCUUUUCUUCAAUACUUUCAAUAAUUAAAAUUUACAUACCUUGAUUGACGGGAUUUUCUUGUCUUCAGUGGGUUGCGUGACCAUAUGACCCAUAGGGGCAUUUCCAACAAAAUAUGUAUGUGAAAGAUCUCCAAUGAAAGAUUCUAGGGCAGACUCAGCACACUGCAAAUAGUUGCAACUUAUAUUUCAUUUUUCUAACCAUAAUUACUAAAUCACCAAAGAAAUGGACUGAAUAAAUGCUAUUUACCUUGCGCAAAUUCUCUUCAGACUCAUAAACUUUUUCAGGGAAAUGCCAGACAGGCUUUCCACUACCUUGUGUGGUACCAUGGACUAGAAGAUAGAGUCUCCUGUCUAGUGCUCGAUGUAAUGACCUUAUGCAUAUCAACAAAACUUCAUAAUCAGUAACAUGAAAUACUAACCAGCAGAAGGAAACAAAACCUUUGAAUGUCUGUUGACAUAUUAUUCAUGUUCAGGAAUAUGCAAAGGUUUUGUAUAGGGUUAGUACCUUUUAGCGAAUUUUGACCAAGUGAUAAGUUGAAGAACAGACGCAAGCUUUAUUUUGUGGGGUAGAGCGGGUGAAGAAGGCAUAUAAAGGGGGAGGGGGGGGGGGGAAGGCAACAGUAGGCUCUCCAUUCCUAAUAUUAAAUACUUGCACAAUGCGCAAUUAGACAAAUCUCAUGUAACUAACACAUCAAUUACUUCGAGACAAUAUUAAGGCAUUUCAACAUCAAAAAUUUAGUUAUGGUAAACAAUUAGAAGUCAAUAAUCAUCUAUUGUCAGGAAAUACGAGUCUGCUGAACUUAGGUAAAGCAACUCUUGAAAGAAAAAUAUAUUCUAGUGCAAUGUCCAUAUUCAAAUUCUUGUAUAAUGUUUGACAAAAGUUAGAAGUCCAAGCUUUGGUACCUUUGAUCAUUAGUCUUAUCUGCUUCUGAGAUUCGAGGAGCUGGUUUAUAAUCAAUUUGAUAAUCACCUUUUCCCCUGCAUGUAAAAUAUAGAUGUAACCGUGCCACUGGACCAUGUGACAUUUGACACUAGACAGAACAGUAUGUGAUAGCAUGUUCAAGAAGAACCAUGUACAUAAUUAAUGGCUAAUAAGGAAGAAUGCAUGAAAGAAAAGGCAAUAAUACUACACAAGCCAAGGAGUAAAAAUCAGUUGGGUCAUACUGCUAAAAGAGGGGACAGUGUUUACUCUCCAACAUGUGUACUGUUGCAUGAAGAGAUCUCAAUUUCUUAAACUGUGAUCUAUGAAAUUAGGCCAUUUUUACCAUCAUGUACUUUUUCUGAAAUGAAAGUAAAGUUUUUAAAUUGUAAAUGGUCUAAGAUAGUAAUGCUCACUGCUCAGCACCAAAGGGUAUUCUCCAAGUUACAGAAACCAAUUUCGCAAGACCAAGUUACUUCAGAAAGCUAGAUAGUCAAGAGUAAAAUAUUGGUAAAAUAAGGAAAACCUUGAAAUAUCUCCAUGAUUGUGUCAUUAGUUUUCGUGGGACAUAUUGAAUGUGUUUUAUUUAGUAUUUCGGACAGGUUCCAUGCCUGUUGCAAUGAGCUCUUUUUCCUCAACUGUUUUACCCACUUCUUUAUUCAGUUGUGAGUACAAAUCCUUCCUUUUAACUGUUAAUGGUAGUUUAAAAGAGAACUUGACCUAGAAAGAAUAUUUUCCCAGAUUUUCAAAUUCAGGAGUUCUGAAAACUAGCAAAAUACUUCUAGUGCUGGAUUCCAGAACUUAAAGUCUUAAACCAUCUAAGGAAAACAAAAAAGCACUAAACUACAAACGUAAACAAGGAGUUACUAAUAUUUAUUUUACAAAAUUUAUCACCCAUCCAAAUUUUGAACUUAUGGUUUAUUUCUUGGUUAUUUUCUUUAUCAUGGACGGCAUCAACCCAUGCUGCUCAUACCCUUUUGUAAUCACUGUAUGCAGAACAGAGAUGAUUCUUCCCUGAAGAAAAUUCACCAGUACUUACACCAAGAUCUCUCAUUUAGACAAACUCUAUUUCUAGAGUAAAGAAGAAUGCUCAGAAAAUCUUCAAAACUUUUCGACUUUUAAGCGCUCUUCAUGCUAUUAAACUCCUAAAGCAAUUUCACUGGUCUAUUAUGUUUUAACUUAUUUCAUGCAUCCUAUGCACACUCUUCAUACCAUUCAUCAGUUAACAUUUCAUAAAUGAAGAUACAUAAUUCACAAAAAGAGGUAUUAAAUGGCAAGGUGUAAUUCAAGCAAUGCAACAGAAAUGUACCUGGUAUCAGACUUCUUCAGAAAACUUUCUGGAUACUCUCACCGAUAUUGCUGCCUCCAACAAAACCUAUAAAAGAAAUUAAUAAUAAAAUUAUUGCAAUCAACUAAACACCGAUUACGUUAAACAAUCAUCUACAUUGUCAUUCGCCAACUCUUAUUCAUGAACCUUUGCUCUUUUAUCCUUCUCAUUUCUCCUUUUGCUGGCAUCUUAGUUACCAACACAUUCUAUAACCUCAUUAUUCUCAACUUCAUUACACAUUUAUCUCCUAGCAUUAGAAACCACUGCAAAAUUUUGGACAAAAGAAACUCUUUUCUUUCUUAGAUAUACUUCAUCAAACUUACAAAAUAGCGAAGAUUCAUAAAUUUGACCUGACUAAUUUGGGAUUGAGGCAUAAUUAUUGUUUUUUAGUACUAUUUUUCUCAAGCAAACAUAUCAAAGUACCCCUUAAUCCCUAAUUAACCAUCACAGUUUCUGGAAAGCGAAAAAAAUAAUUUUGAUCAUUCUAUUAUACGAACCAGCAUUUAUAUGAUUUAGGAACGAUAGUACACCCGUAUAAGCUAAUGAACUUAUUGCUCAUCAUUGUAAUUGGAUUACAAAAGGCUUGAUUACAUUUCGAUUUCGUGCAACAAUUGAACAGAAAAAGAAAAUCUUACGAAAAUUCUUGAAAAGCAUAUACAGUAGGAUUGAUUGUGGGAACCACUACCGGUAAUCUUUCGAAGAGCACUGAAGCGACAAUUUUAUCAUUGUUGGAUGAAGAAAACCAUCGUUUACCUAUCGCAGAUCGACCCGCAGAUGAACAGCACCUCUGCAUUUUCAUAAACCCUAGAAACCCAAAUUCCACAGUACUGACAGGGAAUUGAAAUUUCUCGGGUUGAAAUUUAUGGGCUUGGGAUUCAGAUUGGAAUUUAUGGGCUUGGGACUUGGGUUGAAGUAUGAAAUUUCAAUAAAGAUUAUUAAACUUAUCUAUUCUUUAAGUAUUGAUUUUUCAGCUUAUAAACACUUUUAGUUUGAUCAAUCGUUGUAUUAUUGUAUCUCUACCAUAUUUUAGUAUUGCUUGAUCCAAAGGCGGUGAAAUUUUCAUCUGUUGCGUGAAGUAUAUAUUAUUUUCAUAUUGCUUUUAUUGCAUAUUUUAUUGUAAAGCUUAAAUAAUUUUCAUUUCAUAUUCAUGUAUUGAUUCAGUUGAGUUGCUUUCGGUCCUUCAGUUCAUGUAUUGAUUCAUGUAUUAUUUGUUAAUUCAAUUGAGUUGUUUUCCGUCCUUCAGUUCAUGUAUUGAUUCAUGUAUUAUUUAGGGGAGAGCCAGAUGGUCAUAAAUACAAGCAAUAUGGUUCCGAAAGAGGUCAGAAACUUAUUUUUCGAUAUGAAUUUCAAGUAUGGAGAACCAAGGUUCAGCGGGAGAAUUCUAUCUCUUAGCCAUCAAUGAGAGUUAAGAUUCUUCCUUGGAAUGUAAAUCAAUGGGGGUUGAUGUCAUAGUUUUAGUUGAGACAAAACUCAAGAGAUCAAUCGAUAACAUAUUGCAGAGCAUAUGAAGCAACAAAUUGAUGGGGGGUAAUUCAGAAAAAAGCUCAAGGGAGCAGUGGGGCGUAUUAGUUCUAUGGAACAAAAGAGUUUGGAAUGGGGAUAAUGUGUUUUGUUAAGUAUAAGUAUCAAUACUAGUUGAUCCUAUUGAUGACAAAAUUGAUUUUCUUGUAAGAUCAGUUUGUGUCCAUCUAGUGUUGACACUUAGUGUCACGCCCCGAGCCUACAUCCUGGUGUGUUGGAUAUUAAUUGCCCUGAGUUUCUUACCAUAAAUAGGUUUUCCUUUUGGGAAAAGGUUUUAAUAUUUGGCUAAUCCUUUUCUUGUAGAAAAAGGUUUAGGACUCUAUAAAUAGAGGUUUGUUUCUUCUAACUUAAUCUGUAUGCACAAUAUAGUCCUAGAGUUUUGAGAGUUCCAGUUAUGGGGGAGAAUUUGUGAACCUCCUUGUAUUCCGAGUGAAUUGACUGAGGUUGUUUCUCUCUAUAUUUUGUACUUUCAUUUAUUUAGUGGAUUGUUCAUCUCCUUUGUGGAUGUAGGUCGAUUAAUCGAACCACGUUAAAUCUGUGUCUUUUGGUAUAUUUCUCGUUUGUCUUCUUACUCGUGGUCUUUUGAAGUUUGUUUUGCUAGUUUCCGCAUGACACCUAAUUAUUUUCGAUCCUAACACGAUGAUGCAACAAGUAAGGCAUAUUGCUUGUAUUUUGAGCAUUGGUCACUAAACCUCAAAUCGUUUUGUUUGUUUUCCAACUGGAGCUAGGUAGGAUCGAGAGGAUUCAUUUGUGGAAAAUUAUUAGUCUCGUCAAUGUUUCAGUUCUUUGAGAAAUCACCAAUUCCAAACAAAAUUUGUUUUCAGCAAAUCAAUUUUGAGAUCUUGACCUUCAAGCUCUAACAAAAUAUUUAUGGAACAACCUCCCAGGCUGAAUUCGAAUUGAUUUGUGCUGACUUAUCGAAUAUUUUAUUUCUUCUCUUCAAAGUUACAAAACGCAUCUUCAAAUUGAGAAGUUAUGUUCAUCAUAUUUUUUCCUAUAGAUUCCCUAAACAAGGAUAAUUAAAAAGAAAAAGAAAGGUAUUUAUUAUUUAAAGAUUAAAUUUGAACAUACUAAAUUUAAAAUUUCUCAUUUUACCUUUAAUAAUAUGAUUUUAUGACCACAUUGAUAUCAUGAAAAUUUAAAACCGUAUAUUUUAAAAAUCUUCUAGUCCUGAUGAAAUACCUAGUCAAACAUGUUUCGAUAAAAUAAAGCAAAUGGAAUAUAAUUAAUUAGCUAAAAGUGAUAUAGGUGGAGGAACAAUUAAACCAACUCUUUCGAAUAAUAAAAUUUAAUCUAAUAUGAUAUGUCUUUUUAAAUAAAGUAUAAAGUACGGAAAUAUCUUGAUAAUUGCCUAGGGGAUUUAUUGCCGAGGGCCUUUUUGAAACAGCAUUUACUUCCCCGAGUUAGUGGUACGAUUUAAAUACAUUUUGCCCUUUUCAGACCCCAAUUGUAGGGUUUCAUUGGGAAUGUUGUUGUUGUUUGCCCCGGGGACUUGUGCCUUGGGACAUAAUUUCUUGUCUUAACACACAACUUGUGCCAAUGAAGCAGUGGCGUAGCCACAUAUAGCUUAGGGUGUUUGAUCAGACAUCUUUCGUCCAAAAAUUACCAAGGGCCUUUCUGAAACAACAUUUACCUCCACGAGGUAGUGGUACGGUUUGCAUACAUUUUGCCCUUUUCAAAUCCCAAUUGUAGGGUUUCAUUGGGUAUGUGUUGUUUCCCCUGGGGACUUGUGUCUUGGGACAUAAUUUCUUGUCUUAACACAACUUGUGCCAAUGAAGCAAUGGCGUAGCCACAUAUAACUUAGGGUGUUUAAUCGGACAUCUUUCGUCCAAAUAUCGUACAUAUAUAUUAAAUCUUGAACGGCAACUUUUGGCUUGGCCAGUACACUGAGCAUAAUUUGUGUGAUGCAAUUUUAAAUUCUUGGCCUGCAGUUAGUAGAGAAUAUAUACUUUUCUUUACCAUUAACCUCAAACUCUAUCAUCUUUCUACUUUAACACUUUUUCCCCUAUCGGAUUUUUGAAGCUUUAAAUACUGAAUUCCAUCAUAACAAUAUUCAUCACUUAUCAAACUCUCAAUCUACUGCUUCAACUUUUUUCAAAAAAUAUUAACUUCCAUACACCUACCCCUUUUUUUCCAAUAAAAAAUAUGGCUGAUGCCUUUGUGUCAUUUGCAGUUCAAAAAUUGAGUGAUUUCCUAAUACAACAAGUUUCUCUGAGAACAAAUCAGAGAGAUGAAAUUAGAUGGCUGAGAACUGAGCUACUUAUCAUACAGGCAUUCCUCAAAGAUGCAGAACAAAAGAAAAGUGGAGAUCAUAGAAUUCAACAAUGGGUGUUUGAGAUCAACUCUAUUGCUAAUGACGCUGUUGCUAUACUCGACACUUACAGUUUCGAGGCUGGUAAACGUGCUAGUCGUCUCAAGGCUUGCGCUUGCAUAUGUAGGAAAGAGAAGAAAUUCUACAAUGUCGCCAAGGAGAUUCAAUCACUCAAGCAACGAAUCAUGGAUAUCUCUCGCAAACGAGAUACUUAUGGUAUUACAAAUAUCAAUAGUAAUGCUGGAGAAGGGUCAAGUAAUCAGGUUACAACAUUGAGGAGAACUACCUCAUAUAUAGAUGAUGAUGACAUUUUUGUUGGCUUUCAGGAUGUUGUACAAACAUUGCUAGCUGAACUUCUCAAAGUAGAGCCUCGUAGAAGCAUCGUCUCCAUUCAUGGAAUGGGCGGAUUAGGCAAGACCACUCUUGCAAGAAUCCUCUACAACAGUCCUAAUAUAGUCUCAAGCUUCCCUACACGUGCUUGGAUAUGUGUUUCUCAAGAGUACAACACAAUGGAUCUUCUUAAGACUAUCAUAAAAUCCAUCCAAGGUUGCACCAAGGAAACUCUAGAUUUGUUGGAAAAGAUGGCAGAAACAGAUCUAGAAAAUCACCUUCGUGAUCUAUUGAAAGGACGCAAAUACCUUGUGGUGGUUGAUGAUGUGUGGAAGAGAGAAGCAUGGAAGAGUUUGAAAAGAGUAUUCCCGGACAACAAGAAUGGCAGCAGAGUUAUUAUCACCACACGCCAAGGGGAUGUCGCUGAAAGAGCAGACGAUAAAGGUUUUGUCCAUAAACUUCGUUUCCUAAGCCAAGAAGAAAGUUGGGACCUCUUUUGUAGGAAACUACUUGAUGUUCGAGCUAUGGUUCCAGCAAUGGAAAGUCUAGCUAAGGAUAUGGUGGGAAAAUGUAGAGGCUUACCUCUUGCAAUUGUUGUAUUGAGUGGACUACUUUCGCAUAGAUGGGGGCUAGACAAAUGGCAAAACGUGAAAGACUGCCUUUGGAAGGACAUUGAAGAAGACUCUAUUGAAAUCUCCUACAUACUAUCAUUAAGCUUCAGCGAUUUGUCAGCUGCGCUCAAGCUGUGUUUUCUCUACUUUGGUAUUUUUCCAGAAGAUCAAGUGAUCAAAACUGACAACAUAAUGCGGUUGUGGAUGGCAGAGGGUUUCAUCAUACCAAGAGGAGAAGAAAGAAUAGAGGAUGUCGCUGAAGGUUUCUUGAAUGAGCUGAUAAGACGAAGCUUGGUUCAAGUAGUGGAUACAUUUUGGGAAAAAGUUACUGAAUGUAGGGUUCAUGAUUUACUUCGUGAUCUUGCCAUACAAAAGGCAUUGGAGGUAAACUUCUUUGACAUUUAUGAUCCAAGAAAGAACUUGAAAUCCACUUCAUGUAUAAGACAUGCCAUUCAUAGUGAAGGAGAAAGGUACCUCUCAUCACUUGAUCUUUCUAACUCGAAGUUGAGGUCAAUUAUGUUCUUUGAUCCACAUUUUCGUAAUCUGUUCCAACAUAUACAUGUGUUCCAACAUAUAUAUGUGUUGUACUUGGAUAUUAAUUAUGGUAAUGUUAUACCUGAUGCCAUAGGGAGUUUGUACCACCUCAAGUUGUUAAGCUUGAGAGGUGUCCGUAAUAUUCCCUCCUCCAUUGGCAACCUCAAGAAUUUACAGACACUUGUUGUUGUCAAUAUUGACUUACUUUGCCAACUACCCCCCGAAACAGCUGACCUAAUAAAUUUAAGACAUUUAGUUGUUCCAUAUUCUAAACCUCUGGCAGGUAUAAGCAAACUCACUAGUCUUCAAGUUCUUCACCUUGAUUGUGAUCAGUGGAAAGAUGUUAACCCAGUUGAUUUUGUCAAUCUUCGAGAAUUAGAGAUGGGUAAUAUUAGGAAAUCUUACUCCCUAAACAACAUUAGCAGCUUGAAAAACCUCAACACUCUCAGAUUGUGUAUUUUGUUUGGUCAACAAUAUACAUAUCCAUUCCCAUCCCUUGAAUUUGUUUAUAGUUGUGAAAAGCUCCAGAAAUUGUCGUUAGGUGGGAGAUUAGAGAAACUGCCUGUGUUUCCAGAUUCCAUCACAAUGAUAGUUAUUUGGCAGUCAAGACUGACAAAAGAUCCGAUGCCUAUUUUGGGAAUGUUGCCAAACCUAAGGAAUCUCCACUUGUCCAGAGCUUAUGAAGGAGAAGAAAUAAUGUGCAGUGAUUACAGCUUCAGUCAACUAGAGCUCCUUCAUCUUUAUGGUCUUGACAACUUAGAAAGAUGGCAUUUAGGCACAAAUGCCAUGCCUCUCAUUAAAGAUCUUUCUAUCUAUAAUUGUCAAAAGCUGAAGGAGAUUCCAGAGAGAAUGAAACACGUGAAGCAUUUCAAACAUAUACGAAGUCUUAUAUGAUUAUAGGAAAGGUAAAUAUACAAACACAUUCCAAUCCUUCAUUUUUUUCUUUUUUAUAUAAAUAAUAAUAUUUUUGUUAAACAGGAGAUGAAGACAUUCAAGUUGAUGAAGAUGGGUUGUCCAUGCAUCAAUCAAGUUUCCGUCACUUUACUGAUUUUGUGAUUCUAUGCAAAAAUAAGGAUUUUUUUGGUUUUUGGCUUCUUUUUUUUUUAGUGUGUGGAAUUGGUUGGAAGAAAUUUUUUUUUUUUUUGUGUGUGUGUGCGGCGGGGGGGGGGUGGGGGGGGGGGGGGGGGGGGGAUUGUAUGCAAAAAUGAUUUUGUGAUUAUUUAAUUAAUAUACAUCUAGUACAAUAAUAUACAAAACUUUUAUAUUUCUUUUUUACAAAAAUAUUGUAAAACUUGAUAUACAAUAUUUAUACACGAUAUUAUACGAAAUCAUAAGAGGUAUUUAUACACAUUUAUACAAUCAUAUAUAUAUAUAUAAAAGAGAACUCUAUGUCCGCCUACGUAGCGUCAUCACAAACCAGGAUUUCCUUUUAAUUUAUUUAUUUACAAAACUAGCAUUCCCCUUACAUGAAAAGAUGUGACUUUUAUGAAGAGUUGCAACUUUUAUGAAGAGUUGCGACUUUUAUGAAAACCUGUGACUUUUAUGAAAGGUUGUGUUCCUUCCGAAGGGUUGUAACUUUUCCAAAGAGAUGUGACCUUUCCGAUAAGCCACAAUAAAUAUUUGUUCACACUACCCUUUGUUGUCUAUAAAUAGAGGGAUAUCCUCUCAUUUUAAAACAACGAAAAUUUUGAACUUCUUCUUCUUCUGCACAAUUAAAUAUUAUUUUUGUAUCAAUACACUGGUGAAUAGAAUCGUUCUAUCCUGAGAGGAUCUAUUCCUUUAAACCUCGGGUACUAGAGGGGAAUAAUUUUCUUAAAGGAACACUAUGCAUUUAAUGGGCUCAAUUUUUUCCAGUAUGUUUCAUUCUAUUGUUACAGAUCCUGGUAUGUUUGUUUUAAACUUUGUUGUUUAUGUUACUGCAAAGUUAUUGUUAGUACAGAUUAAAUAACACACAUUAAUUGAGUAUUACUAAUCAUGCAAGUUUUCUCUACUGAAAUUGUAAUUUCAAAUUGAACUUCAUCACUCUGGUAUGUUGAUUUUUUAAAAACAACCAAAUAAACUGAAUAGUUUUAUGUAAUAUUUUCCCUUUCAAGUAUAUAUAAUAUAAGGAAAAAUUACAGAAAUCUUACCUUUUAGUUUACUUAUUACCAUUAUCUCCUAUAAGUUUUACAAAUCUCCAAAAUCCCUUAUUUUCGCGCAUCAGAUUAGUGUAUCUCGCGCAUCAGAUUAGUAUAUCAUGUAUAAAAUAAUAAUAAGGUGGAGACAAACAACUUAUUCUUAAAAAUUAAGCAAUGCAUAUUAUUUUGAAUAUUGACAAAUCAAAGAAGCAAUAAAAAUUUAUCUGACAUAACUAAUUCCAGCAUAACUUGUUUUCGAAUCAACUGACAACGUAUUUGGUAUGAAGAAAAAUGUUUUCCAAAGCAACAUGUUUUCCUCAAAUUUAAGAAAAAUGACUUACCUCCAGAAAAUUAGGAAAACAUUUUUCAGAACUCUUUUUCUACCUCACACCUAAACUUUUCACCCUAACUCAAGUCUCGAGUUAUUCUCAAUACAAAUUCGGGAUCUGACUCCUGAUUCUUGAUUCGGGACCAGACUCUCGACCUCAAUUCGAGACCCGACUCAGGAGAUGGAUCUAAGUCAAAUUCUAAUUUCGGUGUCGAGUCCCAGGUCAGGAUUUGAGGUCGAAUCUUGGAUUGGAUGUCGGGGUUUAUUCCCAAGUCAGGUGUCGGUGUAGGGUUCCAAAUUGAGUGUCAGAGUUAGGUUUUGAGUCAAGAGUCGAGAUCUAGUCCCAGGUCAGUUGGCGGAUUUGAGUCCCGGAUCAGUUGUCGAGGUAGGGUAUCGUGGUUGAAUUCCAAUUUGAAAGUCAAGUCCUUGAUAGGGAGUUGGGAUCAAAUCUCGAUUUGGAAGUUGGGUCAAGUGUCGGGGUCAGGUUUCACAUCGAGUGUUUACGUCAAAUGUUGGUUUGGAUCUCACGUUAGGUGUCGAGAUCGAGACCCGAAACAAUCAUCGAGUUAAAGAUCAGGGUCAAGGUCAAUGUCGAGUCCUAGGUUGGGAGUUGAGGUCAGGUCCUGGAUCAGUUAUUAGAGUUGAUUUUCAGAUUAGAAAUUAUUUUCCUAAAAUUUAUUUCCUUAUCUCUAGCCAAAAUAAAAGUUUUUUUUUUUGAAAAAUGUUUUUCAUUCACCAACCAAACACUCAAAAAAAAAAUUCACUCAUCAACUUAUUUUCUAAGAAAACAAUUUCCUCCAUACCAAACACACCCUUAAGUCUCAAUCCCAAAAAAUAUUGAGGGUUGACAAUCGGUUAUAUGAAUCAUCACUAUCAAUAUUGUUCUAUUAUUAAUUAAGCAGUUGAUGGUGAAAGAUACACCUAAAGUAUCCUAAUUAUCGAGUCUCAUAUUCGAACUAUCAAUUGAGCACUCUAACUUACAAAAUGAUCAUCUAGGCACCUAAUUCAAAACUUAUGUGUCACGUCAACGUCAGGUGUUCAUUAGACACAAUGAGGACAAAUUGAAGUGUUUAAUUGUCAAUUAAGACCAAAUUGAGAUGUCUAGAUGUACACUCUCAAAGUUGAAGUGCUUAUUUGAUUAGAUUGAAUCAAAUCAAGAAAAAGAAACUCAAUCAAGAAUUUGGUUUGGUAUCGAAGAAAAAAAAUUCGAUCAUAAUUAAUUUAGUUUAGUCAGAACUUAAGAAAAAGCAUAUCAAAAUCAAACCAAAGUGAUAUUAUAUUUAUAUAAAUUUUAUAAAUAUGUUAUACUUUAAAAUAUUUAUUAUAAUUCUUAAUAAAUAAUGGUUGUCGAUGCCAAAUGGUGGUAUGUAAUUAAUGGUGGACGAUGGCAGUAGGUUGGAUGAGGGAAUUGUUGAACUACUAACAACAGAUCCAGUAAAAUCUCACUAAGUGGAAUCUGAGGAGGGUAGAGUGUAUGCACUCUACCUCCAAUUUUCAUGAAAAUAUUUAAAUAGAUAUCUUAAUAAUAUUAAUAUUUUUUUCUUAUAGAGAUUAAUCAUUUAGAUUUAUUCAAACACUACAAAAAAAAAAAAAAGGGGGCGGGCGAGGGGGGGUGGGGGUGUAUGUGUGAGAGAGAUCACUAUUCUGAUGGACUAAUGCAAAGUCAAAUAUUGACUAUAUAGAAAUUAUAAAGAUAUCAUGUGCACUACAACCAAACCAAUUUUAAAUUUUCUGGGAAUGUGUACUAAUAAUGUACUUGUUAAUAUUAUUCCACAUUUGAUAUAAUUCUUUUACUAAUUAAUCAAAGAGAAGAAAUGUAAACUAAAAUAUACUUAACUCUUGAGUCAAACUUCUUCUGGCAGCAAUUAACAGCUAACUUUGAUUUGUCUUUUGUCCUAAAGAUGGUUGAUGCCUCUGUGUCAUUCGCAGUUCAAAAACUUCUCAUACAGGAAGCUUCCCUGCGUACAAGUCUCAGACAGGAUGUGCGGUGGCUGCGAAAUGAGCUGUUCUUCAUGCAGUCUUUCCUUAAAGAUGCAGAACAAAAGCAAGUUGUAGAUCAAAGAGUUCAGCAAUGGGUGUUUGAGAUCAACUCUGUUGCUAAUGAUGCCAUUGCUAUAUUGGAGACUUAUAGCUUAGAGGCUAGUAAAGGUAACGACCCUAGAUUUGCUAGUCGUCUGAAGGCUUGCACUUGCAUCUGCAGGAAGGAGACAAAAUUCUACAACGUCAGCAUCACUAAAGCAUUGAAUCAUGGAUAUCUCUCACAAACGAGAGACUUAUGGUAUUAGAGAUAUCAAUAAUGCAGGAGAAGGGCCAAGUAAUUGCCCAAACAAUCAGUAUGACAUGGUUAGAACAUUGAGGAGAACUACCUCAUAUGUAGAUGAGGAUCACAUUUUUGUUGGCUUUCAGGAUGUUGUACAAGCAUUGCUAGCUCAACUUCUCAAAGCAGAGCUUCACAGAAGCGUCAUCUCCAUUUAUGGUAUGGGCGGAUUAGGCAAGACAACUCUUGGGAGAAACCUAUACAUCAGUCCUAAUAUAGUCUCUAGCUUCCCUACACGUGCUUGGAUAUGUGUUUCUCAAGAGUACAACACCAUGGAUCUCCUUAGGAAUAUCAUAAAAUCCAUCCAAGGUUGCACCAAGGAAACUCUAGAUUUGUUGGAAAAGAUGACAGAGAGAGAUCUAGAAAUUUACCUUCGUGAUCUUUUAAAAGAACCCAAAUACCUUGUGGUGGUCGAUGAUUUAUGGCAUAGAGAAGCAUGGGAAAGUUUGAAACGAGCAUUUCCAGAUAGCAAGAACGGCAGCAGAGUAAUUAUUACUACACUAAAAGAGGAUGUCACUGAAAGAGCAGAUAACAAAGGUUUUGUCUAUAGCUUCGCUUCCUGAGCCAAGAAGAAAGUUGGUAUCUCUUUUGUAGGAAACUACUUGAUGUUCGGGCAAUGGUCUCAGCAAUGGAAAGGCUAGCAAAGGAAAUGGUGGACAAGUGUGGAGGUUUACCUCUUGCAGUUGUUGUAUUAAGCGGACUACUUUCACAUAAAAGGGGGUUCGAAGAAUGGCAAAAGGUGAAGGACCACCUUUGGCAAAACAUUAAAGACGACUCUAUUGAAGUCUCCUGCAUACUAUCAUUGAGCUACAACGAUUUGUCAAUUGCGCUCAAGCAGUGUUUCCUGUACUUUGGUAUUAUUCCAGAAGAUCACGUGGUCCAUGUUGAUCACAUAUUAUGGUUGUGGAUGGCUGAAGGAUUUGUACCAACAGGAAAAGAAAUAAUGGAGGAUGUUGUUGAAGGCUUCUUGAAUGAGUUGAUAAGAAGAAGCUUGAUACAAGUGGUACGCACAUUUUGGGAAAAAGUUGGUAAUUGUAGGAUUCAUGAUCUGCUUCGCGAUCUUGCCGUACAAAAAGCAUUGGAGGUAAACUUUUUUGACAUUUAUGAUCCAAGAAAGCACUCCAUAUCCUCCUUGUGUCUUAGACAUGCCAUUCAUAGUCAAGGAAAAAGGUAUCUCUCACUUGAUCUUUCUAACUUGAAGGUUAGGUCACUUAUGUUCCUUGAUACGGAAUUUUUAAAGAUGGGUCUUAUAAAGUUCCAUAAUGUGUUCCAACAUCUAUAUGUGUUGUACUUGGAGAUGCGUGUUGACAAUGUCUAUAGUACCUGAUGCCAUAGGAAGUUUGUACCACCUCAAGUUCUUAAGAUUGAGAGGUAUCUAUGAUCUUCCCUCUUCCAUUGGCAACCUCAAGAAUUUACAGACACUUCUUGUCAAUGACUAUGGAUACUUUUGCCAACUACCCCGCGAGACAGCUGACUUGAUAAAUUUAAGACAUUUAGUUGCUUCGUAUUCAAUACCUCUGAAAUGUAUAAGGAAACUCACUAGUCUUCAAGUUCUUAAAGGCAUCCAUUGUGAUCAGUGGAAAGAUGUUGACCCUGUUGAUUUAGUCAAUCUUCGAGAAUUAAGCAUGCAUGAGAUUACCAAAACUUACUCACUGAACAACAUUAGCAGCUUGAAAAACCUUAGCACUCUAAAAUUGUGCUGUGUAGCUUAUGAAUCAUUCCCAAACCUUGAAUAUCUUAGUUCUUGUCAAAACCUUCAGAAAUUGUGGUUAGAGGGGCAAAUAGAAAAACUGCCUCUCUCAGAGCAGUUUCCGAAUUCCAUCGCCAUGAUGGUCCUUCGGUACUCAGAACUCAUGGAAGAUCCCAUGUCUACUCUAGGGAUGCUGCCAAAUCUAAGGAAUCUCGAUUUGUUUAGAGCUUACGGAGGAAAAGAAAUUACUGCAUUGAUAACAACUUCAGUCAACUGGAGAUCCUUCGUCUUGAUUGUCUUGAGAACUUAGAAAGGUGGCAUUUAGCCACAAGUGCCAUGCCUCUGAUUAAAGGUCUUGGUAUCCAGCGUUGUCCAAAGCUACAUGAGAUUCCCGAUAGAAUCAAAGACGUAGAGAGAACUCCUUUUCAAUGAAGCUUUUCAAGCAUAUGUGAUGUCCUAUUUCAGCUCUUUCAUAAUCGUAGAGGUAAUAAAUCCCAAUCCCCAAUGAUCAUUUCUUUAAUUCCUUUUAAUUACUCACUCUGCCACAGAUUUGUUAGUAUAAUGUUUAAUUUUUAUACUAUGACAGUACAACUUUUAAUACAUUAUCAACAUACUAAAAGAAGUCAACUAUAAAUAAUUGUCUAUAAGUAAAUCACUUAUGCAUGAGAUUUUGUCUUGUAUCCCAACAACAACAUACCCAGUACUGUAUUCCAACAGAAUGAGUUCUGGGGGGUAGAGUGUACGCGAACCUUACAUCCACCUCAAAGGUCAGGUAGAGAGACUAUUUCUGAUAAACUCUCGGCUCAAGACAAAAACAGACUAGAAAAAGACAUAAUGGAAGUAGAAGAGACAAUAGGUAGUAACAAAACAACAGAUGAAAGCAGAACAGUACUACAACCAAAUAAUAUUACAAUCAAACUAUGAUUAAUCAUCAAUUUAGGUUAUUGAUAAAUCUUUUGUUCUUUAUUGAAUACUAUUCCUCAUAUUAAAUAGUGUCUUACAAUUUUGUGAAUAGGAGAAGCAACAGCUGGCAGGUGUGGAACUUUUGCCAAGCAGUUCAAGAGAUUUACAUGCAGCAAGUCAGAUUUUAGAAAUAAUAAGCAUGUUUUAUUUUUUUUUGGCUUUAGGUCAUGUGUUUAAAUUAUAAGUGUGACGUUCAAGAUUUUUUUUAAAAAAUCUCCUUGUAUAAAUUUCUUGAAUCUUGUCAAAUUUAAUAAAUCUCCACCUUGGCAAGAUUCUCCAUUUUCAACUUUCUCUCAACAACUUUUGAUUGUGUCUUCAACCUUAAUCUUCAAUGUUCAACAAUGUUGAUCAAGUUCAAACAAUGUUGAAACUUGACCGCAGUAACCACUUUUGUCAGCAUAUCGGCAGGAUUAUCCGUAGUAUGAAUUUUCUACACUGUGACUCCACCUUCUUCUAUGAUGUCUCGUAUGAAAUGAUAUCGGACAUCAAUGUGCUUCGUCCUUGCAUGAUAAACUUGGUUCUUUGCUAAUUGAAUAGCACUUUGACUAUCACAAAAUAUUGUGAUUCCUUCUUGUCCAAUACCAAGCUCUCUAAGCAAUCCUUGAAGCCAAAUUGCCCCUUUGCAGCCUCUGUAAUUGCCAUAUACUCUGCCUCAGUGGUAGACAAAGCAACUCUUGACUGCAAAGUAGGCUUCCAACUAACUGGUGCGUUUGCAAUAGUGAAAACAUAACCAGUAGUUGAUCUUCGUUUGUCCAAAUCACCUGCAUAAUCUGAGUCACAAUAUCCAACAAGAUAUUGACUAUCUUUAUGCUCAUAAACCAAGUCAAUAUCUACAGUAUUAUGAAUAUACCGUAGAAUUCAUUUUACAGCCUGCCAAUGAUCCUUUCCAGGAUUAUGCAUAUACCUGCUUACAACUCCAACAGCGUGUGAAAUAUCUGGCCUUGUGCAAACCAUUGCAUACAUCAAGCUACCAACAACAUUCGCAUAUGGUACUUUUGACAUAUAUUCUUGUGCAACUUCACUCUUUGGCGACAUAGCAUCACUAAGCUUAAAAUGAGGAGCAAGCGGAGUGCUAACCGACUUCGUUUUCUCAUUCAUGCCAAAUCGAUUUAGUACCCUCUUCAAAUAUUCUUUCUGAGAUAAAAAAAAGCUUCUUUGAAUGACGAUCUCUUUUUAUCUCCUUGCCAAGAAUCCUCUUUGCCUCGCCCAAAUCAUUCAUCUCAAACUCCUUUUUUUGUUGAAUCUUUAGCUUCUCAAUUUCCUCUUGACUUUUAGAAGCUAUCAACAUAUCAUCAACAUAUAGGAGAAGAUAGAUAAAGGAAUCGUCUUCAAGCUUGCGCAAAUACACACAAUGAUCGUAUUUGUUUCUUAUGUACCUUUGCUGCAACAUAAACUUGUCAAAUCGUUUGUACCAUUGUCUAGAAGAUUGUUUCAAUCCAUACAACGAUUUUUCAAGUUUGCACACCAUAUUUUCUUUUCCAUCAACUUUGAAUCCUUCUGGCUGAGUCAUGUAGAUUUCCUCUUCCAAGUCUCCAUGUAAAAAUGCAGUUUUUACAUCCAACUGAACUAGUUCAAAAUUCAACUGUGCUACCAAAGCCAACAAAACUCUAAUGGAGGAGUUUUUCACAAUUGGAGAAAAUACCUCAUUAUAGUCAAUUCCCUCCUUUUGAGUGUAUCCUUUGGCCACCAAUCUUGCUUUGUAGCGAACAUCUUCUUGGUUAGGAAAUCCUUCUUUCUUUGCAAAUACCCAUUUGCACCCAAUUGCUUUCUUGCCAUCCGGGAGAUUGGCCAAUUUCCAUGCAUGAUUCUGAUGAAAGGACUGCAUUUCUUCAUCUAUGGCAAACCUCCACUUAUCUUCUUCUGAACUUUGGAUUGCAUCUUUAUAAGUGGUAGGAAUGUCAUCCGCUGCAAUUGAGUCCGCACAAGCCACCACAUCUGUGAGUCGAGCAGGUUUUCUUAUUGUCCUUUUUGGCUUGCUGGUUGCUAUUGAUUCAAGUUGUGGUUGAGGUUCUUGAGAUGGAACCUCCCCUUCGACUGGCUCUUCUUCCAGAGGAAACACUUCUAUUGUUUCCUCAUUUGAUCCAUGUUUUAGGAAAAUUAUAUUUCCCUCAAACUCCACCUGCUUUGAAGCACCAUCAGUUUGUUUGACUUCUUCAACUGUUACCUUAUUUGUCAAGGCAGAUUCAUCAAAGGUAACAUCCCUACUGAAAAUAAUUUUUCUUGUCUCUGGACACCAUAAACGAUAUCCUUUGACUCCAGAAGUAAUUCCCAUAAAUAAAGCUUUAUUUGCUCUUGGGUCCAAUUUUGACUCCCUUACAUGAUAAUAUGCAAUUGAGCCAAAUACAUAUAAAGAACCAUAAUCUUCAGCAGGUUUUCCAUACCAUUUUUCUAAUGGUGUCUUCCCACCAAUAGCAGCAGAUGGUAGACGAUUAAUCAGGUGACAUGCAUAAUGUUAUUGUCUCAGCCCAAAAUUCUUUGCCCAAGCCAGCAUUGGACAACAUACACCGAACCUUCUCCAGCAAAGUUCGGUCCAUGCAUUCUUCCACUCCAUUCUGUUGUGGUGUAUUUCUAACGAUGAAAUGUCUGACGAUGCCAUUUUCCUCACAAAUUUUCUGAAAAAGAUCAUUUUUGUAUUCUCCACCAUUGUCUGUGCGAAGACACUUGAUCUUUUUUCCACUUUGAGUUUCUAUCAUCACUUUCCAUUUGAGAAAAAUUCCCAAUACUUCAUCUUUUGUUUUCAUCGUAUACACCCACAAUCUUAGGGAAAAGUCAUCAACAAAGGUUUCAAAAUAGUGUUUCCUACCUAAUAAAUGUGUUUUGGAAGCACCCCAAACAUUUGAAUGAACAUAAUCCAAAAUACCUUUAGUAUUAUGGAUAGUUGUUCCAAAUCAUGGAAAUCUCUCGCAAACGAGACACUUAUGGUAUUACAAAUAUCAAUAGUAAUGCUGGAGAAGGGCCAAGUAAUUAGUCUGCCAUGGUUAGAACAUUGAGGAGAACUACCUCCUAUGUGGAUGACCAGGAUUACAUUUUUGUUGGACUUCAAGAUGUUGUACAAACAUUGUUAGAUGAACUUCUCAAACCAGAGACUCGUUGAAGUGUUGUCUCCAUUUAUUGGCAUGGGCGGAUUAGGCAAGACCACUCUUGCAAGAAACCUCUACAACAAUCCUAAUAUAGUCAAUAGCUUCCCUACACGCGCAUGGAUAUGUGUUUCUCAAGAGUACAACACAAUGGAUCUCCUUAGGAAUAUCAUAAAAUCCAUCCAAGGUUGCACUAAGGAAACUCUAGAUUUGUUGGAAAGGAUAACUGAAAAAGAUCUAGAAAUUUACCUUCGUUAUCUAUUAAAAGAGCACAAAUAUAUACCUUGUGGUGGUUGAUGAUGUAUGGCAGAUAGAAGCAUGGGAGAGUUUGAAAAGAGCAUUUCCGGAUGGCAAGAAUGGCAGCAGAGUCAUUAUUACCACGCGCAAAGAGGAUGUCGCUGAAAGAGCAGACAACAGAGGUUUUGUCCAUAAACUUCGUUUCCUAAGCCAAGAAGAAAGUUGGGAUCUCUUUAGUAGGAAACUACUUGAUGUUCGAACAAUGGUUCCAGAAAUGAAAAGUCUAGCUAAGGAUAUGGUCGAAAAGUGUAGAGGCUUACCUUUUGCAAUUGUUGUAUUGAGCGGACUACUUUUGCAUAAAAAAGAGCUAAAAGAAUGGGAAAAGGUGAAAGAUCACCUUUGGAAGAACAUUAAAGAAGAUAAAUCUAUUGAAAUCUCCAACAUACUAUCCUUAAGCUACAAUGAUUUAUCAACUGCGCUCAAGCAAUAUUUUCUCUACUUUGGUAUUUUUCCACAAGAUCAAGUGCUCGGGGCUGAUAACAUAAAAUGGUUGUGGAUGGCCGAGGGUUUCAUACCCAGAGGAGAAGAAAGAAUGGAGGAUGCCGCAGAAGGCUUCUUGAAUGAACUUAUAAGACGAAGCUUGGUUCAAGUGGCUAAAACAUAUUGGGAAAGAUUUACUGAAUGUAGGGUUCAUGAUUUACUCCAUGAUCUUGCGAUACAAAAGGCAUUGGAGGUAAACUUCUUUGACAUUUAUGAUCCAAGAAGCCACUCCAUAUCCUCUUUAUGUAUCAGACAUGUGAUUCAUAGUGAAGGAGAAAGGUACCUCUCACUUGAUCUUUCUAACUUAAAGUUGAGGUCAAUUAUGUUCUUCGAUCAAAAUUUUCGUAAGAUGAGUCUUAUAAACUUCAGGAGUGUGUUCCAACAUCUAUAUGUGUGUCUAUAGUACCUGAUGCCAUAGGAAGUUUGUACCACCUCAAGUUCUUAAGAUUGAGAGGCAUCCAAGGUCUUCCCUCUUCCAUUCGCAACCUUAAGAAUUUACAGACACUGUAUGUCAAUGACGACAUACAGUAUUGUGAACUACCCCAUGAGACAACUGACCUAAUAAAUCUAAGACAUUUAGUUUCCCUGUAUUCAAAACCUCUGGAACAUAUAAGCAAACUCACUAGUCUUCAAGUUCUUCAAAACAUCUGUUGUGAUCAAUGGAAAAAUGUUGACCCUGUUGAUUUAGUCAAUCUUCGAAAAUUAAGCAUGCAUGAUAUUACCAAAUCUUACUCCCUAAACAACAUUAGCACCUUGAAAAACCUUAGCACUCUCAGAUUGUUGUGUUGUGCUGAUGAAUCAUUCCCAUCUCUUGAAUUUGUUAAUUGUAGUGAAAAGCUCCAGAAAUUGAGGUUAGAAGGGAGAAUAGAGAAACUGCCUCAUCUGUUUCCAAAUUCCAUCACAACGAUGGUUCUGAGGUUCUCAGUACUGACAGAAGAUCUGAUGCCUAUUUGGGAAUAUUGCCAAAACCUGAGGAAUCUCGAUUUGCUUAGAGCUUAUGAAGGAAAAGAAAUAAUGUGCAGUGAUAACAGCUUCAGUCAACUAGAGUUCCUUCGUCUUUAUGAUCUUGAGAAGCUAGAAAGAUGGGAUUUAGGCACAAGUGCCAUGCCUCUGAUUAAAGGUCUUGGUAUCCAUGACUGUCCAAAUUUAAAGGAGAUUCCUGAGAGAAUGAAAGACGUGGAGUUGUUGAAGAGGAAUUAUACGUGGUGAAGCUUUUGAAGCAUAUAUCAUGUCUUAUUUUGGCCUCAUAAUCGUAGAUUUUAGUGUUUCUGCCAAGCACUUGAAGACAUUGGUUAUUUCAGGGCUGUCAAUGAGAGUGGUUUUAGUGUUUGAUUUCUUAUUGUUUUAAGCUUUUUGAGUGAGUGUAAUUGGUUUGAAGAUAGUUGUUUUUGGCAAAAAUGAUUUUGUGAUGUUUUAAUUAAUUGUCUACUGUAUGUUCCCCUACUUAGCCACAUUUAAGACAAUGCUUUAUAUGUUAAAAUGUGUUGGUGUAAUAUACCCUAAAUAUAAUAAGUAAAUAAAAUGACAAAAAAUGCAUAAACAAAUCUUUAGGCUGAGGCACGGAUAUCUCGCUCUCUUUAAGGAGAUUCAAGCCCACUGCAGCAUAAUCUACACCGAUCCAGCAGUAUCACUCUUGACUUGUCCCCUCUAGGAUACAACAGCCCAACAAUGUGUACAACUCAAGCAACUCCGGAUUAGUUAAAGAGUCCAAAGCUCCACAUAAGAACACUUUCCUUCAACAUAUAAAUACUCUCUUGUCUAUAGUGAAUAUAGUUGAAGACUUAGAAUAUUUUUCUAUGUCUCAACUCUCUCUUUCACUAUUACACACUACAAUAUUACUUCACACUUCUCAUCUUUUUGAGAUACUUCACAAAGGAAGAAACACAACUAUUUAUAGGUGAAGAAGUCUCCCAUAUAAUCAAUAGGUAGAAUGAGGGGUAGUAAUGUGGCUGGAUAAAUGUGAUAGAUGUUACAUGAGUUACAAGAAACUAAUGGUCAUAUGAGUUACAAGAAACUAAUGACCAUGAUAGUUACAAGAACUAAUGGCCAUAUAGGUUACAAGAACCAAUAGUCAUCUUCUACCACAAUUUAUACCCACUAACUUAUGCACUUAAUAUUUUAUUUUAAUAAUAAAAUGUAUAUACACCAACAAAAUGAAAUUAAAAAUAGUAUAUGGUGUUAUGAAUCAACCCCAGCCCAAUAGGUGUUCUUAUUGAGGACGGGAGUAUUGUUAUGAAUCAGCCCCAGCCCAAUAGGGAUACCAACAAGGAUAUCACACAAAUAGAUAUUGGGCCGAGUAAAAGCAAUCGGGCCAGGCCUUCACAAAUUGUUUGGGAUCCAGGCCCAUUUACACUUUGUUAAAAAGGGCAAAUGAGUUGGAAAGAAGGAUUAGGAAAAUUGUUAAAGAAAGAGUGUUUCCUCUCAUCUCCCUUCUUAGUCUAAGCUUCUCAUCCCCUUCCUAUGGGUUCUUCUGAUUUCUCAUCUCCUUGCUAUUAUCUAUCCUAGUUUCUUUAUCUUCUGUAAUUUCUAUUGUACUAGUACUAUUUCUAUGUUGCUGUAGUACACCAGUUAAUACAAUCAGUGAAAAGAGUUUGGCUACUGUUCUUUUGUGAUUAGUGUUUGUUACAUAGGUGCUUUCAUCCAGAGAACUCCAUCAUCAGCUAUGUUUCUACCUAGAUUCAAUGGCAAUGACAACGGCAACCCGAAGAACUGGAUUUUUCGGGCAGAAUUGUACUUCACAUACCUUGGUUUCGACGAGAAGGACUGGCUACCUCUUCCUUCCUUCUACUUUGAUGGUGAAGCUCUUUCCUGGUUCGAUUGGUUGUUUCGCAACAAGCUACUCGUCGAUUGGAACCAUUUCAAGGAUGCAUUUACUCAGCGAUUUCAACAACAAACCAACAUAAAUGUGUUGGGGCGUCUAGCUAAUUCCUCACAGGUUCAUUAUGACUACAUUAGUUCUGUCCCUAUAGUUUCACAAUCAGUUGUGGUGUCUCCUUUUUCUGCUUCCAGUCAUUUUUCAAGGUCCUCUGCCAUUGCAUCUGCCUGCAACGCUGAAAGCUCACAGGCAGACCAGGUGCUCGAUGAAAGUUCUCACGGCAUUAAAUUAAAUGAGGUAAGGUCAAUUGCACCCCGAGUAUCACUCCUAGUUCCUUUUGAUGGUCCAGAAGUUGUUAGGCCAAAUGAACAUCUCGAACGAGAUAUGUCAAUGAGGUAUGUAGAUGUUAACUCUCUUGCUAGUGGCUCUCCUAAAUUGAAAACUGAUUCGGAGACCUUCGUAGACUGGUAUCUUUCUGAUUUGUUCAUGGAACCUGUGGGUAAUGAAAAUCUGUAUCUCAAUAUCUCGACAAGUUCAAUACAUUCUGUUAAAAUACUUCCUGACAUUGAAAAUGGAAAAUCCACCGGGGCGUUCAAUGAUCAAAAUAUUUCAAGUCAAUUUCCAUUGGUUCCUGCUGCUAAUUUAUUUAUUAUAAUCAUGCCUGUGAUUGCAAUGGACCUUUGUGUAUGGGAUCCAGGAAUAUGUUUCGAGUUCAUGGCUCUAACAGAUUUUAUAGAGAACGCAGAGGAAUUAUUUUUGUUGGGCUGUCCUUGCAAGUUUUUCUUAAAUGUAGAUUCAAACUCUAUGAGUAGAGUGUGGGAUCCGGGACAAACAUGGUGUGUAUAUUGCUACUUCUCUAAUGGGUCAUGCGUUAUGUAUAACUACAUUGCAUUCACAUGUCCUUCAAUCGCAUAUGAACUAGUCGUUGAGGAAUAUUUUUAUGUAAACUAUGACGUUUUGGUGGACAACUUCAAGCAAACAUCAGUUUUGCGUCCCGAUGUCAGCACUAGUUUUGACAGGAAAAUUGAGAAUUGCUACCUAGUGCUUGAUAGAAAGAAUCAUAUUGCAUUACUUAGUUCUACUAUAGGGCUUCAGAACUUUGAUGCUCAUUUUAAUGUGCUCCCAAUUGGCAUCACUGGCCCCAUGAAAGUUUUUGGAAGACAUAGUGUUGCGCACGAAGUACUAUCUAAUUCUGCCCAUCACUGGUCCUUGAAGAUUUGUUUACAUGGACUUUUCCAUAAUUGGUUUGCUGGAAGAACUCAUUGGUUUGUUUUUGUUGUUAUUAAUGGUGAUGUUGUGGGAAGUUCAACUAGAAUUGUCCAUUUAAACAAAUGGGUUUCUGGGCAGCGGCUGAAGGAUAAUGUACAAAUGCCUAGGCAUAACAAUGUGUCAUGGAGGGGAAAUUCUGGGCUGCAAGAUGGAAAGUAUAUUGAUUUUAUUAAAUAUAAAUAUUUGGUGGUGGUCUACAAUGAUGCCAGAGAUGGACUACAACUUAGUUUGCCUUUAUUUCAUGUUCUUACUAUGCUAAGCUGGAGUGUGAGUGUGCAUCUUGCAAAUUAUAAAGUUGUUGAACUAAAUCAUGUCAGGGAUGUUUUCAAAGCAGCCUUCACUAUGAUGUCCAUUCUAAGGAUAUUGUGGCCUAGGAGACAUGUAAUUGGAGAAAAUGAUGAGUUUAUCGGCAAGAAGGCUGCUUAUGCAUUGAGCCAAGGCGUUGGCGUUAUAGCCUGUAUUGGAGAGCUGUUACAAGAAAGAGAAGCAGGAAAAACUUUUGAUCUCUGUUUCCAGCAAUUGAAGGCUUUUGCAGAUGCUAUACCAAGUUGGGAUAAUGUUGUCAUUGCGUAUGAGCCUGUCUGGGCUAUUGGAACUGUUGCCUCGCCUGAUUUUUCUUGUCACAACCAUGUCCAACAGGCAGUAAACUGUUUUGACACAAUAUACAAAGCUUGGUAUGAAGCUCUUGAUUUUUCUCACAAGGGACUUGCAGGUGUUUGCCAUCAAAUGCACUUCGUCCAUCUUAAAGUCAAUGUAACUGCACCUAGAUUACCAAUGCUUUCGUUGGCGAGAUCUCUUGACUUGAACCUUGAGGACAAGGUUCUUAUUGAGGACGGGAGUAUUGUUAUGAAUCAGCCCCAGCCCAAUAGGGAUACCAACAAGGAUAUCACACAAAUAGAUAUUGGGCCGAGUAAAAGCAAUCGGGCCAGGCCUUCACAAAUUGUUUGGGAUCCAGGCCCAUUUACACUUUGUUAAAAAGGGCAAAUGAGUUGGAAAGAAGGAUUAUGAAAAUUGUUAAAGAAAGAGUGUUUCCUCUCAUCUCCCUUCUUAGUCUAAGCUUCUCAUCCCCUUCCUAUGGGUUCUUCUGAUUUCUCAUCUCCUUGCUAUUAUCUAUCCUAGUUUCUUUAUCUUCUGUAAUUUCUAUUGUACUAGUACUAUUUCUAUGUUGCUGUAGUACACCAGUUAAUACAAUCAGUGAAAAGAGUUUGGCUACUGUUCUUUUGUGAUUAGUGUUUGUUACAUAUGGUACUCUCACUUGUCCACAAUUUAGUAUUUUCUGUUCCUCCUUCAAUAGCAAAGGAGUUCAUUUAUCUAACUAGUUUUGGUAUCUUAAGUUUUUGGUUUCUGGUUUCAGACAGAUUCGAAAACUACUUAUACUGCAAAAUUAGAGAUGCAACGCAUACCAAAAUAAUCCAAUCACUAGAAGUCUAAUUUACUGACUCAAAUUUAAUUACAUGCCUUCUUCACCUAACUGACUCUAGAUUUAUUGGAAAGGAUGACAGAAGGAAAUCUAGAAAUUUAUCUUCGUGAUCUAUUAAAAGAAUGCAAAUGUGAUGUAUAGCAGAGAGAAGCAUGGGAGAAUUUGAAAAGAGCAUUCCCGGAUAGCAAGAAUGGAAGCAGAGUUAUUAUUACCACGCCCAAAGAGGAUGUCGUUGAAAGAGCAGACGACAGAGGUUUUGUCCAUAAACUUUGUUUCUAAGCCAUGAAGAAAGUUGGGAUCUCUUUUGUAGGAAACUACUUGAUGUUCGAGCAAUGACCUCAGCAAUGGAGAGGCUAGCAAGCUAUGGAUAUGGUGGACAAGUGUAGAGGUUUACCUCUUGCAAUUGUUGUAUUAAGGAGGCUAGAAGAAUGGCAAAAGGUGCAGGACCGCCUUUGGCAGAACAUUAAAGACGACUCUAUUGAAUUCUCCUACAUACUAUCAUUGAGCUACAACCAUUUGUCAACCUUAGAUGGAAUAAGCACACCAUCACUAUCACAAUAAGAAAUAUCAAUCUUCUCAUACCUAUCAUGAAAAAAGGAUCACUGGAGGAGCUUAGAGCGAAAAAUCAUGAAAACCAUUCAUUCGAGAAAUCAUAUCAUCAUCAUCAUAUGUUAUUAAAAGUAGGAAGAAUCUAAGUCAAAAGUUGAAUUAUGAAAAAACCCCUUACCUAUUAAUUUUUUUUUUUAAAAUCAUUUUAAAAAAUUAUUUUUCCAUUUAAAAUCAACUUCAUAACUACACCUCUGCAUUUUCCUAACUUAUCAUCAUAUUAUCAUAAAUAAAUAAUAAAUAAUAAUAAUUAUUAAAAGUGGAAAGCUCCAAAAUUUGAAGUUGGGUCGUCAUUUUACCCCUAUAUUAAAUAAAAAAGUUAUAAAAUAUUUUAUUAAUUAAAUAUUAAAUAGUAAUAAUUUGUCAUUUUUUCUUCACAUAUAAAAAAAGAGAAAUAAAACUUCUAUGAAAUUAGUAAAUAGUAAGUAUAUAUAUAAGUGGAACCAAAAUAUUUUUAAAAUUGAAUUAUCAAAAUGUCCAUAAAAUAUUGAAUGACAUUAAUAUCCUUCAAUCAAAUAUUAUUCCUACAAUAAUAUUGUACAAGAAUAUAAAUAUACACUUAGUUCAAUGCAUUAGGCUAUUUAAUAUAUAUAUAUAUACACGAAAAUACCCAUUAAUAUUUUGCUACAAGUGAAUUUGGCCGCGCUACGCGCAGUGGAAUUACUCAUUUAACAAAUUCAUUAUUAAUUUGAAAAUUGAUUUACUACUAUAUAGUUUAUGAACUAUAAUGCUAAUUGUUUUGAAAAUUCUUUAAAUGUUAUAAACCAUAAAGAAUUGUUUAUAUAUACUUUAUAAAUUUUAAACAUGUUAGCUUUCAUAUAAAAGUGUUGCUUGUUACAACAAAAAUUAACAUUCUAUUUGGUAGAAGAAAGAAAGAAAACUAUAGGUAAAUAGAUGAGUCAAAGAUAUCAAAAUACUUGUGAAUGAUCGUGAUUUAUCGAGCAAGAACUCAUAUGUUAAACUAUUUUAAAUUUUUUAUUAUGCACUUUUCAAGUUCAUUAGUACUAUUCUCUUUCAGAUAGUAUAGUUACAGUAUAAUUUUAAAAAAAGGACCGACAUGCUCGUGUUUUCUUCACCUUUGGUUGUUUCUUUGUUCUUCACAGUUGUUUUAUAUUUCCCUUUUGUUUCAAUACACUCUAAAGAUAGAAAUGUUCUUCAAACUCCACAAAUAGAACAAACAUGUAAAAGAAUAACUUAUGAAACUUAUAGAAACAUUUGAGAAGAUGAUAUACUUGUAGUGCUCUCCACUUAAACGAAUAUCUGAGAUCCUAAUAAUUUUACGGAGAUCCUAAUAAUUUUACCUGAAAUCUUUCUGUUGCCUGCACAAAAAUGACAUAUCCGAUGAUGAUAUUUGGUUGCCGAUAAUGAUAUGUAACUGCAAAACAAUUAUGAUAAAACAUAAAAUAAAAAAAGAUAGUACACAUACUACAGAAGGAAAGCAAACAUGAUCGGUUAGGUAACGAUUGCUUCUAAUUUUGCUUCAAAUUCUGAGUUUUAAGUGCAUGUUAAAUCUGUUACAAUAGUCAUUUAAGGUGGAAUUAAUGAUGGUAUCUAAUUGCUACGUUUAUUUAUAUUUUAUUUAUGAGUCUUUUAAAUUCAUUUGUUAGUAGCAGAAAUGAAACAAAAACAAUACAGGAAAAGGUGAAAAAUGGUCGUUUCAUCUUUUAUUAAUAAAUGAGAUGACAUUUGUUUUUUCAAACAUAUUACACAAAUUAAAACUUAAUAAAAAGCUCAAAAAAAAAAAAAGCAUAUUACACAAAUUAAAACUUAAUAAAAAGCUCAAAAUAAAAUAAAAUAGAGAAAUAUUAUAUAUAUAUAUAUAUAUAUAUGAUAUGAUUUAUUUAACUCCUAUUUAUGUUAUAUAUAUAUAUUUCUAGAAAGUUAAGUCUAUCUUCUAAUAAAUAUAAAUAAUAAUAUAGCAAAUGAAUGAACUAGAUAAAUCAAAAGACAUGGAGUUGUGUGUAUUCAAUUUUUGUAAAUGUUUUAUCUCCCGAUUCCUAAUGCAAAAAAUAAAACAUUUCUUCGUAGUAAUAAACAUAUGGAGAUUUUGAAAAGUUGUUUGGUAUAUUCAAUGUGGAAUAAAUUAUUUUGAUCAAUUCAAUACAAUAUAUUCAUUUACUAAAUGUUAUAUAUUGUGUAUAUAUAGUGAAAAAUAACAAGACAAUUAUAUCAUCAAAUAUAUAUUAUGAUAAAUUAUGUAAAAGAUAAAAAUGAAUCAUUCAUUAUAUAUUUACAACUAGGUAAUUUACCCGUGCGAAAUAAUUUUUCUAAGCUUUUGAACAACCUUUCCAAUAAUGAUUGUUAUAAGAAAAAAAAUUAGUAGAUUUUAAAAAUAUUUCAAUAGAAAUUAAAUGAUUUAACAUUAUCACAUAUCUCAAGAAUUGUAAAUAUAUAAUGAAUGAUUAAAAAUAUCUUCAUAUCUAAUCAUUUUUAUUUUUUACAUAAUUUAUCUUAAUAUAUGUUUGAUAAUAUAAUUGUCUUGUUAAAACUGAGUGAUGUUUUUAUGUAGCGAUUAAACAUCAUUUUUUCUAUUUUUUGUACAUGAAAAAUAUAGAAUCUGAUAAUUUUAUUGUUAGAAUAUAACUUCUAGUGAAAAAAAUUAUGUGAAAGUUUUCGAUAAUCAAUAUUAGUUAUAAAUAAGUUAAGACCGUUGAAAUUGUACACCACAACAACAUAAAUAAUUUUUUUUUAGAGACAAUCUACUUGUCUGAGGUCAAACGUUCACCACUUUUCGUUAUUGUUACUUUGUUACUCUAAAAAAAUUAUAGAAGGAGAAAAAUAAAAUUGAAACAACAGCAAAAUAAUAUUGUUGACCCUUUUAAAAAUUCAUUCUUCAUUAAUUGCUUCUCUGAAGACCCUUCUAGAUGCUUAAUCAAUGCAACUUUACGAUUUUUUCAGAAAUAUGUAUGUAUAAUUGUUGCAUUAUGAAAGUACAAGUAGAUCAAAAUGUUGGAUUCUACUCAUGUUAAAGAAAUAUUCUCGAACAUUAAAAAACUAAAAAUGAAUCUAACCUAGAUAACUCAAACACUCAACAAUGACUUGGGACAUGAAGGACAACAAAUCUAUGUUAAUAGACAUAUCUUUUGUAGUUUAAGACAUUACUUUUAUUUAGAGCAGGUUUUGUUUCAUAUCCUUCAAAUUAAGCUUGCCGAAAAUAGUCAUAACUCACACCAAAAAUAUUUAGAAGAGCCGAAUGAGAAAGAAAAAAAGAAAGACAUUAAAAGGGCGAAAGCUUUUUCCAAGUGAUCAGAUCAUAUACAUACCAAACGAAAAACAAUCAAUACAAUUUUAAGGAGACAACAAAACAGCGAGAAAAAACUUACAUUAAAAGGAGUAAACUAUGAGAUACCCAAUGAUGAUAACAAAUCAUUCUAACCAAAAAAGUUCUCAUGUUUUGAAAUAACAUACCUCAAAAAAUUGACUAACACUUCAAUCAACUUUCAAUCCUUAAAGUACUCAUAAUAUCCACAUAUAAAAUUUAGUAAAAAUAGAUAACAACAACAUAAAAACCAAAAAAUAUGGGCAUGCAAAGUUAUUAACUCUCAAAGGAUUUUCUAAAGAACACAAAAUCUCAUCCUUGUAUGUGAAGGAAUGUCGUUAUUGAUGAAGAAAUUAGAGAUUUGUAAGAGCUUUUUUAUUGUACCUUCAACAAUUCCAAUAGAGAAACCUUGCUUGAAUACUCAAUUAACGUUUGUUAUUUACCUCAAAAAAUUGACUAACACUUCAAUCAACUUUCAAUCCUUAGAAUACUCAUAAUAUCCACAUAUAAAAUUUAGUAAAAAUAGAUUACAACAACAUAAAAACCAAAAAAUAUGGGUAUGCAAAGUUAUUAACUCUCAAAGGAUUUUCUAAAGAACACAAAAUCUCAUCCUUGUAUGUGAAGGAAUGGCGUUAUUGAUGAAGAAAUUAGAGAUUUGUAAGGGCAUUUUUUAUUGUACCUUCAACAAUUUCAGUAGAGAAAACUUGCUUGAAUACUCAAUUAACGUUUGUUAUUUAAUUUGUACUAACAAAUACUUAUAACAAUAAUUUUGCAGAAACAUAAACAACAAAGUUUAAAGCAUGUACUCAAAAAUAACAAUUAAUAAUAUAAACAUAAAUUAAUGACCGUAAAAAACAUAUCAGGAUAUGUAACAAUAGAAUGAAACAGAAUGGAAAAAAUUGAGUCCACUGAAUGCACAGUCCCCCUUAAGGAAAUUAUUCCCCUCUAGUACCCGAGGUUUAAAGGAAUAGAUCCUCUCAGGAUAGAAUAAUUCUAUUCACCAUUGUAUUGAUACAAAAACAAUGGUGUCAGUGAGUCAUUCAACAGGAGCAAAAUACACAAAUAUUUAAUUGUUUAGAAGAAGAAGAAAUUCAAAAUUUUUGUUGUUUAAAAUGAGAGGAAAUUCCUCUAUUUAUAGACAACGAAGGGUAGUGUGAACAAAUGUAUAUUGUGUCUUAUCGAAAUUGUCACAACUCUUUGGAAAAGUUACAAAAGGUCACAACCUUUAUAAAAGUCAUAAUUUUUCAUAAAAGUUGCAAAAUGACUAAAAUAUCCAUAGAAAGAUAUUAGAUAUUUUUAUCGUUUUAAAAAUUAAUUAACUACAUAUUUUUUUAUAUUUUCCUUUUUUUUUUGUAUUUAUUUUCAUUGCACUUAAUAUCAUACGAACUAAAUUUUUUUCUCUUCUUUAUUUAUUAUUUUUCUCCUUUAUUUAUUUUAAAUUCAUUUUCAUGACUCAUGUUUAAUUAUCUAUUAGAUUGUUACUCUUAAUAUUUAUAACUCUUAUUCUUUUCAUAUUCAUAACUUCCAAUUAUUAAGAGAUGCUACCUAUAAAAGUUCCUAAAUACAUUAUUUGUGUUAUAGUCUUUUCUUCAUUCAACCUCAUUUGUUUUAUCCUUUGAGCUUCCAAUUGUAAUUAGUAUUAAUAAGUAUCUAUUACUCAUCUUUCUUAUCUUGCUUGCACUAUAUAAAGGUGUACAAAUGAAUAGUAAAUUAUGAUUCUCUUCUUUCUAUAAUUUUUUUUAUUGUUUUGCAUUUUCCUCAAUACUAUGUGGACAAGUAAAUUUAUUUUCUUUUGUGUUUAAGAGCUUAUAUUUACAAGGUAACAUGUAAUUAAUAUUAUUAUUUACUAUUUGAUUUAUGUUUUAGUUUAACUUGGUGAAGAAGAUUCUUGAAUUUUGAUUGAUUGUAGAAGAAGGUGUUGAUAAGAACUCGGAAUUUAUGUACUGAUUUUGUAUUUUCAUCCAUUUGUAUUAUUAUGAUCAAAGUCUUAAGAAGGGUGUGUAUGUUGUAUUUUUUCUUUUAUGUUUUUAUUUGUUUUUCUCAUUAUUAGACUUCUUUAAUUUGAUUUUCUAUGAAUUUUCGAAUGUCGUAAUUCUGUAAUUUUAAUCAUUUUAUCGAUCUAUAAAAAAUUACAUGGGAUAAACAUGCAAAUCACGUAUCCAGAAACUUGUUUGAUAUAAGAAUAUGUAAGACUCAGCAUACUAUGAGACAUGAGUGCUUAUAUGAAUAGAUUCAUAUUAGGAGGCUGAUAUUCAUAGCCUUAUAGAGUAAGAUAAAGAUCAAUGGGCUAAAGUUUCUGCCUCUUAUUCUGGGAAGUGAACAUAGAUAUGAAUUUAUGAUCUGAAGCGUUUGAGCAUAGGUCAUGGACAUAAUGCCAAUAUGUGAGAAAUCAACAAGGUGUUGUAACGAGUUAACUUUGAGGAAUACGCUAGACUAUGAAUGGAUUGAUAUACCACCAUAACUUUUUCUGAACACAUCAUUAUAUGAUUAUCAACGCUUGACUUGGUUCCUUACCUUAUCAUCUCCCCCUUAGGUCAGAAGCUGACACCCUAAGGCUAUGGACCUAUUACAUAUUCUCUAUACUAGUCUAUAUUCACUUUACUCUAACAUUCGAAAAAAUGCUAAUCACAUGUCUAUUAAACUCUCCAUGCGCAGGUACUAAGAUUCCUUUUAGGGCUUCUUUCUGAGCUGCUUCUCUUAACUUAUUCUUGCUUCUAUAGAAGUCUUUUGAUAAUCGUUACCCGCAUUGGAUUAUAAUUUUAUCUAACUCUUAAUUAAUAGUCUGACGUCUCCUUCUUAGCCUACUAAUACCGUCCUUCUAAGUUCAUAUCUAUCUAACUAGAGAAAACUUGAAUUGUAUUUAAUUAAGAGGCUCGUCAUUGUCUAUGUAUGAUUCUUUCGACCAAACUCUUAAGGGUAAUAAAGAAUGCUUGCAUCAGUCUACUCCACAUUGACAGCUCAAAUAUAUUAUCUAGGCACACAUAGAAAAUCAUAAACUUAAUUAAAGUCUCAUCUAACUAUAUAUGAUCUUGGGUACACAUCUUAGUGCUCUUGUUUAUCCAAUGACGUAGCCACACUUCAUUACUCUCGUCUAAGGGUCAUAAUACCACACUUGUACCACUCACAUUUAAUGCAAAUUAACACCUUAAUUCCUCACUUACUCUAUGUCAAAAGCCUACUAGAUCAAAUCUCAAAACUAACAUCAUUACCCCCCAUAUUGCCAUUCUUUUUAUCACUAUACUCAUCUCAAAUUCAAGCUUAGUGUCCAGUACUAAACAUGGAUAUCAAUGUCAUUGUUCACAUACUAUACUAACUUAUGACUACUGGAUAAAAUUAAGACACAGUCGCCGACUAAGACCUCAUGACAAGUAAUCAAUCUUUAUCCCCUAGUCUACCUAGUUACAGUUUAUCGCCACAUCCCUUUCACAACCUAAGUACUAUUUACCCCCUUCACUAUACAUUAUUGCCUAAUUAGUUCCAUAAUCCUAUUAAUAUCAUGAGGCUCUCCUUUCAAAAUCAUAAGUCUAGCUUAGAUCUAUUUCCUCAUGACUAUUUGUCCUUCAAACAUAUACUUGGUCUUCGCUAUCACAAUUACAUCAAAUUAAAAUUUAAAAUUUUGACUGCAAAAAAAGCGAAAGAAGCAAUCCAUAGAAAGAUUUGACGCUCUGAAACUUCAAGUUAACCUUCAUGGCUGAAUUCAAAUUAAUUUGUGCUAACUUAUUGAAUAUUUUUUUUCUUCUCUUCAAUGUUACAAAACACAUCUUCAAAAAAUUGAGAAGCCAUGCUCAUCAUUUUUUCCUAUAGAUUCCCCAAACGAGGAAACUUAAAAAGAACAGAAACGUAUCUAUUAUUAAAAGAUUAAAUUUGAACAUAAUUAAUUUAAAAUUUCUUAUUUUACCAUUAAUAAUAUAAUUUUAUACCACAUUGAUAUCACGAAAAUUUAAAAAUCCCAAAUCCCAAAUAUCUUUGGUUUAAAUGUGGCACCUAGCCAAACAUGUUUUUAUAAAUAAUCUUCAUUUAUUUUUGAAAGGUAUAAAAAUCGGCCAAAACUAUGUAGCCCAAGUAAAUGAACGGUAGUUAAAAAAAAAAAAAAAAGGUCAUUCGCACAAAUGCCAAUUUGAUGUGACAUUUUGAUAUUUUUUUCCUCUCAAAUGCAUUGUCUUUAAUUUUAUUCCUAUUGCUUAUUUAAUGAAAAUUUUAUUGGCUAAAAUACCCUUAAAUUUAACUAGACAGAACAUUUUACAUAAUGUUUGUAUACAUUGGAGCAUAAAUUUAUCAUGGGAAUAUUUUUUUAUUUGUUUUUUCGCUGUCAGAGAGAAUAUAUACUUUUCUUUGUUUUUUUUGCCGUCAGAGAGAAUAUAUACUUUUCUUUAUCAUUACCCUCAACUUUAUCAUCUUUCUACUUUAAGACUUUAACAAUAUUCCCAUGAUAACAAUAUUCCUUUACACUGAAUUUUUGAAGCUUUAAAUACUGAAUUCCAUGACAACAAUAUUUAUCUCUUAUCAAACUCUCAAUCUACUAAUUUCCAUACACACUUUACCUUUUACAAAAAAAAUAUUAAUUAAUUUCCAUAUUCCUAAAGAUGGCUGAUGCCGUUGUGUCAUUUGCAGUUCAAAAAUUGGGUGAUUUCCUCAUUCAGGAAGUUAACCUACGUUUAAGUCUAAGAGAGGAUAUGAAGUGGAUGAGAACUGAGCUUCUCUUCAUGCAGUCUUUCCUCAAAGAUACAGAACUAAAACAAUAUGGAGAUCAUACAAUUCAACAAUGGGUAACUGAGAUGAACUCUAUUGCUAAUGACGCUGUUGCUAUACUCGAGACUUACAGUUUAGAGGCUGGUAAAGGUGCUAGUCGUCUCAAGGCGUGCGCUUGCAUAUGUAGGAAGGAGAAGAAAUUCUACAAUGUCGCCAAGGAGAUUCAAUCACUCAAGCAACGAAUCAUGGAUAUCUCUCGUAAAAGAGAUACUUAUAGUAUUACAAAUAUCAAUAGUAAUGCUGGAGAAGGAACAAGUAAUCAGGUUACAACACUGAGGAGAACUACCUCAUAUGUGGAUGACCAGGAUUACAUUUUUGUUGGACUUCAGGAUGUUGUAGAAUCAUUGCUAGCUGAACUUCUCAAAGCAGAGCCUCGUCGAAACGUCCUCUCCAUUCAUGGGAUGGGUGGAUUGGGCAAGACCACUCUUGCCAGAAACCUCUACAACAGUCCUAAUAUAGUCUCAAGCUUCCCUACUCGCACUUGGAUAUGUGUUUCUCAAGAGUACAACACAAUGGAUCUUUUUAAGACUAUCAUAAAAUCCAUCCAAGGUUGCGCCAAGGAAACUCUAGAUUUGUUGGAAAAGAUGGCAGAAACAGAUCUAGAAAAUCACCUUCGUGAUCUAUUAGAAGGAUGCAAAUACCUUGUGGUGGUUGAUGAUGUGUGGCAGAAAGAAGCAUGGGAGAGUUUGAAAAGAGCAUUUCCGGAUAGAAAUAAUGGCAGCAGAGUUAUUAUCACCACGCGCAACCAGGAUGUCGCUGAAAGAGCAAACAACAGAGGUUUUGUCCAUAAACUUCGUUUCCUAAAACAAGAAGAAAGUUGGGAUCUCUUUUGUAGGAAACUACUUGAUGUUCGAGCAAUGGUUCCAGCAAUGGAAAGUCUAGCUAAGGAUAUGGUGGAAAAAUGUAGAGGCUUACCUCUUGCAAUUGUUGUAUUGAGUGGACUACUUUCGCAUAGAUGGGGGCUAGACAAAUGGCAAAACGUGAAAGACUGCCUUUGGAAGGACAUUGAAGAAGACUCUAUUGAAAUCUCCUACAUACUAUCAUUAAGCUUCAACGAUUUGUCAGCUGCGCUCAAGAAGUGUUUUCUCUACUUUGGUGUUUUUCCAGAAGAUCAAGUGAUCGAUGCUGACGACAUAAUGCGGUUGUGGAUGACAGAGGGUUUCAUCAUACCAAGAGGAGAAGAAAGAAUGGAGGAUGUCGCUGAAGGCUUCUUGAAUGAGCUGAUAAGACGAAGCUUGGUUCAAGUAGCUCAAACAUUUUGGGAAAAAGUUACUGUAUGUAGGGUUCAUGAUUUACUUCGUGAUCUUGCCAUACAAAAGGCAUUGGAGGUAAACUUCUUUGACAUUUAUGAUCCAAGAAAGAACUUGAAAUCCACUUCAUGUAUAAGACAUGCCAUUCAUAGUGAAGGAGAAAGGUACCUCUCAUCACUUGAUCUUUCUAACUCGAAGUUGAGGUCAAUUAUGUUCUUUGAUCCACAUAUUUGUAAUGUGUUCCAACAUAUAGAUGUGUUCCGACAUAUAUAUGUGUUGUACUUGGAUAUUGAUUAUGGUAAAGUUAUACCUGAUGCCAUAGGGAGUUUGUACAACCUCAAGUUGUUACGCUUGAGUGUUGUCAGUAAAAUUCCCUCCUCCAUCGGCAACCUCAAGAAUCUACAGACACUUGUUGUUGUCAAUAUGGACAGACGCUUUUGCCAACUACCCCCCGAAACAGCUGACCUAAUAAAUUUAAGACAUUUAGUUGUUCCAUAUUCUAUACCUCUGGCAGGUAUAAGCAAACUCACUAGUCUUCAAGUUCUUCGCCUUGAUUGUGAUCAGUGGAAAGAAGUUGACCCAGUUGAUUUAGUCAAUCUUCGAGAAUUAGAGAUGCGUAAUAUAUACAAAUCUUACUCCCUAAACAACAUUAGCAGCUUGAAAAACCUUAACACUCUCAAAUUGUGUAUUUUGCUUGGUCCACAAUCUACAUAUCCAUUCCCAUCCCUUGAAUUUGUUAAUAGUUGUGAAAAGCUCCAGAAAUUGUUGUUAGGUGGGAGAUUAGAGAAACUGCCUGUGUUUCCAGAUUCCAUCACAAUGAUAUUUCUUUGGGAGUCAAGACUGACAAAAGAUCCGAUGCCUAUUUUGGGAAUGUUACCAAACCUAAGGAAUCUCGAAUUAGAAGCAGCUUAUGAAGGAGAAGAAAUAAUGUGCAGUGAUUACAGCUUCAGUCAACUAGAGCUCCUUCAUCUUUAUGGUCUUGACAACUUAGAAAGAUGGCAUUUAGGCACAAAUGCCAUGCCUCUCAUUAAAGAUCUUGUUAUCCAUCAUUGUCCAAAGCUGAGGGAGAUUCCAGAGAGAAUGAAAGACGUGAAGCAUUUCAAACGUAUAUGAAGUCUUAUAUGAUAAUAGGAAAGGUAAAUAUACAAACACAUCCCAAUCCUUCAUUUUUUUUCUUUUUUAUAUAAAUAAUAAUAUUUUUGUUAAAACAGGAGAUGAAGACAUUCAAGUUGAUGAAGAUGGGUUGUCCAAGCAUCAAUCAAGCUUCCGUCACUUUACUGAUUUUGUGAUUCUAGGCAAAAAUGAGGAUUUUUUUGGUUUUUGGCUUCUUUUUUUUUUUUUAGUGUGUGGAAUUGGUUGGAAGAGAUUUUUUUUUUGGGGGAAGUGGGGGUGGNNNNNNNNNNNNNNNNNNNNNNNNNNNNNNNNNNNNNNNNNNNNNNNNNNNNNNNNNNNNNNNNNNNNNNNNNNNNNNNNNNNNNNNNNNNNNNNNNNNNGGGAUCACCCCCGACGAAAAAUCCACGAUGAUCUCCUCGAUCUUCUCUUCUUCUUCUCCUUCUUCUCUUCUUCUUCUCUUCUUCUUCUCCUUCUUCUCUNNNNUCCUCGAUUUCCUCUUCUUCUCUUCUUCUUCUCUUCUUCUUCUCAAGCCCUAGCCUUCACUCUCUUAAAAUGGAACAAAAUGAUCCAAGUAUCAGCCUUACUCAACAAUAUAACCUCAAAAGAAAUAGCCAGGGAAAAGACCAAAAUGCCCUUAAUUUUCCGGAGAGAUUUCCCUGCCAACAGCCCAACUUCUAAAGGGCACAACUCGCUCAUACGAACUCGGAAUUGAGCAAACUCGGCGGUAUUGGAAAUAUCAUUCCACAAGCUUCACAACCAUAACUAGAACUACUCCUAACUCAUCCUGAGAUGGAAGUUAUGACUGCUCAAAGUUGGCCAAAAAUUCAUUUUUUUCACACUUAGCCAAAUUUCCAAAAUUUUAAAUUCUUUCCAAAAAUGACUAUUUUUGAUUUUUAAGCCGCUUCAUAGUUAUUUCAUCUUACCGGAUGUUACAAUAUCUCCCCCUUGGGAACAUUCGUCCUCGAAUGAGGUUACUCUUACAAGGCUAAGGGUGCAACAACAACUCAAACACCCAACAAGCAACUAUACAAACACAACAACAACCACAACAUGCUCAUUAUAAUUAAAAGAGCACUAAAAAGGAAAUUAAUACCUUAAUCUGCAUUUCCUUCGGAUUCAAAGAGAUGUGGAUAUCUCUUCUUCAUGUCUUCUUCGGCUUUCCCCAAAGUGGCUUCCUCAACAAAUUGGUUCCUCCAUAGGACCUUGACUGAGGCUACUUCUUUCGUUCUCAACCUACGAACUUGACGAUCUAAAAUCUGAACAGGAACCUCCUCAUAAGAUAAGUUAUCCUUGAUCUUAAAACUUUCAGUCGGUAGGAUAAAAUGAAGGAUCGCCUAUGCACUUCUUCAACAUGGAGAUGUGAAAUAUUGGAUGAACCGCUUCUAGUUCCUGUACUUUGGUAUUUGUCAACUGCGCUCAAGCAGUGUUUCCUGUACUUUGGUAUUUUUCCAGAAUAUCACGUGGUCCAUUUGAUCACAUAUUAUGGUUGUGGAUGGCUGAAGGAUUUGUACCAACAGGAAAAGAAAUAAUGGAGGAUGUUGUUGAAGGCUUCUUCAAUGAGUUGAUAAGACGAAGCUUGAUACAAGUGGUACACACAUUUUGGGAAAAAGUUGGUAAAUGUAGGAUUCAUGAUCUGCUUCACGAUCUUGCCGUACAAAAAGCAUUGGAGGUAAACUUUUUUGACAUUUAUGAUCCAAGAAAGCACUCCAUAUCCUCCUUGUGUCUUAAACAUGCCAUUCAUAGUCAAGGAAAAAGGUAUCUCUCACUCAAUCUUUCUAACUUGAAGGUUAGGUCACUUAUGUUCCUUGAUACGGAUAUUUUAAAGAUGGGUCUUAUAAAGUUCCAUAAUGUGUUCCAACAUCUAUAUGUGUUGUACUUGGAGAUUCAUGUUGACAAUAUGUGUAUACUGUAUAGUACCUGAUGCCAUAGGAGGUUUGUACCACCUCAAGUUCUUAAGAUUGAGAGGUAUCCAUGAUCUUCCCUCUUCCAUUGGCAAGCUCAAGAAUUUAUAGACACUUCUUGUCAAUGACUAUGGAUACUUUUGCAACUACCCCGCGAGACAGCUGACCUGAUAAAUCUAAGACAUUUAGUUGCUUCGUAUUCAAAACCUCUGAAACGUAUAAGCAAACUCACUAGUCUUCAAGUUCUUAAAGGCAUCCAUUGUGAUCAGUGGAAAGAUGUUGACCCUGUUGAUUUAGUCAAUCUUCGAGAAUUAAGCAUGCAUGAGAUUACCAAAACUUACUCACUAAACAACAUUAGCAGCUUGAAAAACCUUAGCACUCUAAAAUUGUGCUGUGUAGCUUAUGUAUCAUUCCCAAACCUUGAAUAUCUUAGUUCUUGUCAAAACCUUCAGAAAUUGUGGUUGGAGGGGCAAAUAGAAAAACUGCCUCUCUCAUAGCAGUUUCUGAAUUCCAUCGCCAUGAUGGUCCUUCGGUACUCAGAACUCAUGGAAGAUCCCAUGUCUACUCUAGGGAUGCUCCCAAAUCUAAGGAAUCUCGAUUUUGUUUAGAGCUUACGGAGGAAAAGAAAUUACCUGCAGUGAUAACAGCUUCAGCCAACUGGAGAUCCUUCGUCUUGAUUGUCUUGAGAACUUAGAAAGAUGGGUUUUAGCCAGAAGUGGCAUGCCUCUGAUUAAAGGUCUUGGUAUCCAGCGUUGUCCAAAGCUACAUGAGAUUCCUGAUAGAAUCAAAGACGUGGAGAGAACUCCUUUUCAAUGAAGCUUUUCAAGCAUAUAUGAUGUCCUAUUUCAGCUCUUUCAUAAUCGUAGAGGUAAUAAAUCCCAAUCCCCAAUGAUCAUUUCUUAAAUUCCUUUUAAUUACUCACUCUGCCGCAGAUUUGUUAGUAUAAUGUUUAAUUUUUAUACUAUGACAGUACAAUUUUUUUUACAUUAUCACCAUACUAAAAGAAGUCAACUAUAAACAAUUGUCUAUUAGUAAAUCACUUAUGCAUGAGAUUUUGUCUUGUAUCACAAAUUCACAACAACAACAUACCCGGUACUGUAUUCCCACAGAACGAGGUCUGGUGAGGGUAGAGUGUACACAAACCUUACCUCCACCUCAAAGAUGAGGUAGAGAGAUUAUUUCCAAUAAACUCUCAGCUCAAGAUAAAAACAGACUAGAAAAAGACGUAAUGGAAGUAGAAGAGACAAUAGGUAGUAACAAAACAACAGAUGAAAGCAAAACAGUACUACAACCAAAUAAUAUUACAAUCGAACUACACGAAACAAUAGAUAUCAAUAAAAUGAUUUUCUUCAUGCCAAAAACACACUGAAUUGUAUUGGUAAUCUAUUAUUUGGUCAACACUUGAUAUUGUCCUGAUCAUUAUGAUUAAUCAUCAAUUUAGGUUAUUGAUAAAUCUUUUGUUCUUUAUUGAAUACUAUUCCUCAUAUUAAAUAGUGUCUUACAAUUUUGGUUGAAUAGGAGAAGCAGCAGCUGGCAGGUGUGGAACUUUUUGCCAAGCAUUUCAAGAGAUUUACAUGGAGCAAGUCGGAUUUUAGAAAUAAUAAGCAUGUUUCUUUUGUUUUGGCUUUAGGUCAUGUGUUUAAAUUACAACUGUGACAUUCAAGAUUUUUUUUUUAAAAAUCUCCUUGUAUAUAUUUCUUGUUCCGCCACUGCCCACAUUUUGUUUCUUGUCAUAACUAAGUAUUAAAUAAGUAUGAGCUUUUAAGUUCGAGAUUCAGAAAUGAACUUUUUGUAAUUAUUAUCCAAGAAUAUUAUGGUAUAAUAGAUCUUUAUAGAAUUAUAGUCCACAAACAUAUAAUAACUCAAAACAGUGAUGACUAGCAGUGAUGCUUGUGGAAGUCAAUUAAGGAUGGUGUUGACGAAUGGUGGGGUGGGAUUAGUAGCUAGUGGUGAUGGUGUUGGCAGUGGAGGUUGAUGGUGGCCGUUGAUAGUUAAGUUGGAUAAUAGUGAUAAUUAAUGGUAAUGGGGACAAUGAUAGUGAUUGUCAAUAUAUAAUGUCGUGAUUAGUGGUUGUUGUAGACUUGUAGUACUGAUGGUUGGUGAAGAAGAUUAUAAAUGAUAGCUAGUGAGGUGAAGGAGCAUCCAAGUGGUAAGCUUGGCCCCUGGAAGCAGAUUUGGAGGAACAAGGUGCCACCAAGGUAAAGUGUUUCUCCGGGUUGGUUGCCAGAAGAGCAUGCUCCACUCAUGAGAAAUUGAAAAGGAGGGGUUUCUAUAUUGCCUCUUGGUGCUCUCUCUGUAAUGAGACUGAGGAAACCAACAACCAUUUGUUCCUCCAUUGCAAAGUGACAACACAAUUUUGGAACCUUUUUUUGGGACCAACACAUACAAAAUGGAUUAUGCCUGAGCAUACAGCAGAUCUACUUAGUUGCUGGAUCAGCAGAGGGGGGAGAAAAUCUAAGAAAAAGUGGUGGAGUAUAAUACCAUCAUGCAUCUGGUGGUGUAUUUGGAAAGAAAGAAAUAGCAGAUGCUAUGAUAACAAAGCUAAUCUAAUAGAGAAAGUCAAAUGGAACUGCUUGACUACUUUUUAUUUUUGGUGUAAAGAGGAAGGGAUAGACCACUCUUGCGAGAAGCCUAUACAUCAGUCCUAAUAUAGUCAAUAGAUUCCAUACAUGAGCUUGGAUAUGUGUUUCUCAAGAGUACAACACCAUGGAUCUCCUUAGGAAUAACAUAAAAUCCAUCAAAGGUUGCACCAAGGAAAAAGGAAACUCUAAAUUUGUUGGAAAAGAUGACGGAAAGAGAUCUAGAAAUUUACCUUCGUGAUCUUUUAAAAGAACCCAAAUACCUUGUGGUGGUCGAUGAUUUAUGGCAAAGAGAAGCAUGGGAAAGUCUAAAACGAGCAUUUCCGGACAGCAAGAAUGGCAGCAGAGUUGUUAUUACCACGCGCAAAGAAGAUGUCGCUGAAAGAGCAGAUAACAAAGGUUUUGUCUAUAGACUUUGUUUCCUGAGCCAAGAAGAAAGUUGGGAUCUCUUUUGUAGGAAACUACUAGAUGUUCAGGCAAUGGUCUCAGCAAUGGAAAGGUUAGCUAAGGAUAUGGUGGACAGGUGUGGAGGUUUACCUCUUGCAAUUGUUGUAUUAAGUGGACUACUUUCACAUAAAAAGGGGUUCGAAGAAUGGCAAAAGGUGAAGGUCCACCUUUGGCAGCACAUUAAAGACGACUCUAUUGAAAUCUCCUACAUACUAUCAUUGAGCUACAAUGAUUUGUCAACUGCGCUCAAGCAGUGUUUUCUGUACUUUAGUAUUUUUCCAGAAGAUCGAGUGCUCGAGGCUGAAAACAUAAUACGGUUGUGGAUGGCCGAGGGUUUCAUACCAAGAGGAGAAGAAAGAAUGGAGGAUGUCGCUGAAGGCUUCUUGAAUGAGCUGAUAAGACGAAGCUUGGUUCAAGUAGCUAAAACAUUUUGGGAAAAAGUUACUGAAUGUAGGGUUCAUGAUUUACUUCACGAGCUUGCCAUACAAAAGGCAUUGGAGGUAAACUUCUUUGACAUUUAUGAUCCAAGAAACCACUCCAUAUCCUCCUUAUGUAUCAGACAUGCCAUUCAUGAUCAAGGAGAAAAGUACCUCUUACUUGAUCUUUCUAACUUAAAGUAAAGGUCAAUUAUAUUCUUCGAUCCAAAUUUUCGGAACAUGAAUCUUAUAAACUUCAGUAGUGUGUUCCAACAUAUAUAUGUGUUAUACUUGGAUAUUCUUGGUGGCACUGUACCUUAUGCCAUAGGAAUUUUGUACCACCUCAAGUUCUUAAGCUUGAGAGGUAUUGGUAAUCUUCCCUCCUCCAUUGGCAACCUCAAGAAUUUACAGACACUUUGUGUCAAAAGUGAAUUUAGACAUUUGUGCCAACUAACCCCCGAGACAGCUGACCUAAUAAAUCUAAGACAUUUAGUUGCUCAGUAUUCUGAACCUCUGGUACGUAUAAGCAAACUCACUAGUCUUCAAAUUCUUAAAGACAUCUCUUGUGAUCAGUGGAAAGAUGUUGACCCUAUUAAUUUAGUCAAUCUUCUUGAAUUAAGCAUGAUUGAUAUUACUAAAUCUUACUCCCUAAACAACAUUAGCAGCUUGAAAAACCUUAGCACUCUCAAAUUGUUUUGUAGAGGUGGUCAAUCAUUCCCAGACCUUGAAUUUCUUUAUUAUUGUGAAAAGCUCCACAAAUUGUGGUUAGAUGGGAGAAUAGAGAAACUGCCUCUGUUACCAAAUUCCAUCACAAUGAUGGUUCUUUUGGAUUCAAAAACUUCAUGGAAGAUCCGAUGCCUAUUUUGGGAAUGUUGCCAAACCUAAGAAAACUCGAAUUUCUUAGAGCUUAUCAAGGAAAAGAGAUAUUCUGCAGUUAUAAUAGCUUCCGUCAACUCGAGUUCCUUAGUCUUGCUUGUCUUGAGAACCUAGACACAUGGCAUUUAGCCACAAGUGCCAUGCUUCUGAUUAAAGGUCUUCGUAUUGAUCACUGUAAAAAGCUGAACAAGAUUCCCCAGAGAAUGAAAGACGUGAAGCUUUUCAAGCAUAUGAGAGGUUUUAUUUGAUAAUAGCAAAGGUAAAUAUUCAAACAAAUCUCAAUCCUACAUAACUUUCUUCAUUUUUUUUCUUUUAUAUAAAUUAAUAUUUGUGUUAAACAGGAGAAGAAGUUGUCACUUGAACCAUUCACCUUCAUCAACUUGGGCUCUCAAUUUACUCAUUAUUUCAACAUUCAGUUUUUUUGUUUUAUUUUGGUUUUUCAAUGUUUCAUUUCUCUCUCUUUUUGUCUUUAUUUAGUGCAUGUGUGGAAUUGGUUCAAAGAGAAUUUGUUUUGGGAUUAUCUCACCUAAUACUAUUUGAGUCAUUUGUCUAAUGGUAGGGAUAUAUGUGAGCCACUUUUGUAAUGAGGGGGAUAUCAAUUCUACAUCGCAAAGUUGAGGGGUAGAUCAUACUUUUUCCCCUAAAAAAUAAAUAAAUUAUGCAUUAGCUUUGUGUAUUACUUGUACCUUGUCUGCAGGUAUAUUUUUUCAAUCUAUGUACACAUAAUACACCCUAUAUAUAAUUAAGAUGCGUAUAACAUUGGACUAUGGAUUUUAACUUUGGGUUUGCCCACUAUAUCAACUACCGCUAGUUAACAUAGACUUCAACAACCACAACUCGGCUAGCUCUAGCCACUAACUCAACUCAUAAUGAAAUGAACUGAUGUAAUCUAUUAUCCUUUAUAGCUUAAGAAUAUAUUUACAAUACGCGAGCACAAAAUCCUAUACUCAAAUAACAACUUAAGGCUUUGUGACACUCGAUCAGGUCCCUUGUUGCAUGUGAGAGUAGUUCUUCCUUGGAAAUGAUUUUUGCUUUUGAUAAUCUUGAUUGCAAAAAUUAGGUUGUUUCUUGUCAACAUAUCCAGUGUAUAAGAGAGACAAAACAACCUAAUAGCAUGUUAUUGGUCGAGGACUGCUGUUCUUUCUACGCGUUUAUUACCGUGCUCACCAAUCACUGCAGUUUCUACAGCUUUACAGUUGCACUCCAUUGACUUAUCCUGAAAGACAAAAACUCAAAGGACCUAGUCCCUUUAUCAGAUAUUAUUUCUCUAUAAUUUGUUAAAUCAUCAGAAUUCAAAAAUACAAAAUUUGAUUGGUUCCAUCAUACAUAGUGUUAAAAAAUUAAAGUAGAUUCGAUGUUACUUUCAUUAUCAUGAUGCCUACCACUUCAAGAAAGCAUCAAUCAAGUUUCUGUUACUUUACUGAUUAUUUCAACUUUUUUUUUGUUUUAGUUUUUCAAUGUUUAAUUUCUUUUUUGUUUUUGGCUUCUUUAAGUGUGUGGAAUUGGUUCAAAAGAGAAUUACGAUACACUUUUUCAAUCAAUGUAUAUAUAAUAUUAUAUAUACAUAGUAUUAAGGUGCGCAUACUAUUGGAUGGUGGAUUUUAACAUCGGGGUUGCCAUAUAAGUUGCAAAAAUCGCAUUCACACGCUUAUCUGGCAUGAAUCAUAGAUAAUGUGACAUGUGGACAAACAUUAUUUUAAGUGGCUCAAGGGUUGAGUAGUAGAGGUGGUCGAUAGGUCCUAGUUCUAGCUGAGGCGUCUAGUAAAGUGAACUCUGCGGAAAAUUUUGAAGGACCGCAGGUGACUUAAGCCUAUAUUCCUUGCCUGUUAACUUAAUAGUGAAGAAGAUAAUACAUAUUUCUAGAAGAAGCUUUAAUACAUAUUUCAAAAAAAAUGUACCUUUCACUUAGCUUGUUGCAACUUUAUCCUUUUUUAUAAUGGUAGUAUAAUCGCAAAUUCUUUUUUCAAAAAACACAUGGUCAUGUUUCAUUUUUUAAAAACAUAAAAUGGACCCUUUGAACACAUGACUAUUUAUGUCUGAGUGCAUAUAUCUCUUAUCUCCCAUUUUCUAACUUGUUUUCUAAUAUACUGCUUCCUCUUUUACAGAUAAAAAUCAAUACUCCUAACGAUGGCUGAUGCCUUUCUGUCAUUUGCAGUUCAGAAAUUGGGUGAUUUCCUCAUUCAGGAAGUUAACCUACGUUUAAGUCUAAGAGAGGAUAUACAGUGGCUGUGAAACGAGAUUCUCUUCAUGCAGUCUUUCCUCAAAGAUGCAGAACUAAAACAAUGUGGAGAUCAUAGAAUUCAACAAUGGGUGUUUGAGAUCAACUCUAUUGCUAAUGAUGCUGUUGCUAUGCUCGAGACUUAUAGAUUCGAGGCUGAUAAAGGUGCUAGUCGUCUCAAGGCUGAGAAAUGAGCUACUCUUCAUACAGUCUUUCCUCAGAGAUGCAGAACUAAAGCAAAGUAGAGAUCAAAGAGUUCAACAAUGGGUGUUUGAGAUCAACUCUAUUGCUAAUGAUGCUGUUGCUAUGCUCGAGACUUAUAGAUUCGAGGCUGAUAAAGGUGCUAGUCGUCUCAAGGCUUGCGCUUGCAUUUGUAGGAAGGAGAAGAAACUCUACAAUGUCGCCAAGGAGAUUCAAUCACUCAAGCAAUGAAUCAUGGAUAUCUCUCGCAAACGAGAGACUUAUGGUGUUACAAAUAUCAAUAGUAAUGCAGGAGAAGGGCCAAGUAAUCAGAUUAUAACAUUGAGGAGAACUACCUCAUAUGUGGAUGACCAGGAUUACAUUUUUGUUGGCUUUCAGGAUGUUGUACAAACAUUGCUAGCUCAACUUAUCAAAGCAGAGCCUCGUCGAACCGUCCUCUCCAUUUAUGGCAUGGGCGGAUUAGGCAAGACCACUCUUGCAAGAAACCUCUACACCAGUCCUAAUAUAAUCUCAAGCUUCCCUACACGCGCUUGGAUAUGUGUUUCUCAAGAGUACAACACAAUGGAUCUUCUUAGGAAUAUCAUAAAAUCCAUCCAAGGUCGCACCAAGGAAACUCUAGAUUUGUUGGAAAGGAUGACAGAAGGAGAUCUAGAAAUUUAUCUUCGUGAUCUACUAAAAGAACGCAAAUACCUUGUGGUGGUUGAUGAUGUAUGGCAGAAAGAAGCAUGGGAGAGUUUGAAAAGAGCAUUCCCGGAUAGCAAGAAUGGCAGCAGAGUCAUUAUUACCACGCGCAAAGAGGAAGUCGCUGAAAGAGCAGACAACAUAAGUUUUGUUCAUAAACUUCGUUUCCUAAGUCAAGAAGAAAGUUGGGAUCUCUUUUGUAGGAAACUACUUGAUGUUCGAGCAAUGAUUCCAGCAAUGGAAAGUCUAGCUAAGGAUAUGGUGGAAAAGUGUAGAGGCUUACCUCUUGCAAUUGUUGUAUUGAGCGGACUACUUUCGCAUAAAAAGGGGCUAAACGAAUGGCAAAAGGUGAAAGACUGCCUUUGGAAGAACAUUAUUGAAGAUAAAUCUAUUGAAAUCUUCAGCAUACUAUCAUUAAGCUUCAAUGAUUUGUCAGUUGCGCUCAAGCAGUGUUUUCUGUACAUUGGUAUUUUUCCAGAAGAUCAAGUGAUCGAUGCUGAAGACAUAAUACGUUUGUGGAUGGCAGAGGGUUUCAUCAUACCCAGAGGAGAAGAAAGAAUGGAGGAUGUCGCUGAAGACUUCUUGAAUGAGCUGAUAAGACGAAGCUUGGUUCAAGUGGCAAAAAUAUUUUUGGAAAAAGUGUAGGGUUCAUGAUUUACUCCGUGAUCUUGCCAUACAAAAGGCAUCCGACACAAACCUCUUUGACAUUUAUCAUCCAAGAAGGCACUCCAAAUCCUCUUCAUGUAUCAGACUUUCCAUUCAUAGUCAAGGAGAAAGGUAUCACUCACUUGAUCUUUCUACUUUGAAGUUGAGGUCAAUUAUGUUCUUCGAUCCAGUUUUUCCUAAUGUGUCCCAACAUAUAUAUUUGUUUCGACAUAUAUAUGUGUUGUACUUGCAUAUGGAUUAUGGUGGUGUUCUACCUGAUGCCAUAGGGAGUUUGUACCACCUCAAGUUGUUAAGCAUUAGAUCAGGUGUCUGUAAUAUUCCCUCCUCCAUUGGCAACCUCAAGAAUUUACAGACACUUGUCAUUGUAAAUGGGUACGCAUCAUUUUGCCGACUAUCCCGCAAGAUAGCUGACCUAAUAAAUCUAAGACAUUUAGUUGUUCAAUAUUCAGAGCCUCUGAAAUGUAUAAACAAACUCACGAGUCUUCAAGUUCUUAAAGGCAUUCGUUGUGAUCAGUGGAAAGAUAUUGACCAUGUUGAUUUAGUCAAUCUUCGAGAAUUAAGCAUGGAUCGUAUCAGGAGCUCUUACUCCCUAAACAACAUUAGCAGCUUGAAAAACCUUAGCACUCUCAGAUUGUCUUGUCAAGAUUAUGAUGAAUCAUUCCCAUCCCUUGAAUUUGUUAAUUGUUGUGAAAAGCUCCAGAAAUUGUGGUUAAAAAGGGAGAAUAGAGAAACUGCCUAAUCUGUUUCCAAAGUCCAUCACAAUGAUGGUUUUGAGGAACUCGGGACUGACAGAAGAUUCGAUGCCUAUUUUGGGAAUGUUGCCAAACCUAAGGAAUCUCAAACUAGAAGAUGUUUAUGAAGGAAAAGAAAUAAUGUGCAGCGAUAACAGUUUUAGUCAACUCAAGUUCCUUAAUCUUGAUCAUCUUCAAAACCUAGAAAGAUGGGAUUCAGGCACAAGUGCAAUGCCUCUCAUUAAAGCUCUUCAUAUCUAUGAAUGUCCAAACCUGAAGGAGAUACCAGAGAGGAUGAUUGACUUGAAGAAGCUUGAAGAGACCAAGUUUUUUUUGUACAAAUAGUGUGUUAAUAUUUGGGUUAAACAGGAGAAGAAGUUGGCAUGAAUCAAGUUGGAUUAUUUCAACAUUCAUUUUUUUUUGUUUGAAUAAAAUCAAUAUUAUUUUAUAAAGCAUAUAAUAAAUUAUUAUCAUAGCAAUUAACUAUCAUGUUUAGUUUUUCGGAGCACUUUUAAUAUUUGAUUAUAAAAUAGUGUCGGCUAUAAUGCUUAGGAUCGAAGAGAGUUGAUCAGCAUUCGGCAUUUUUUGAUGCUAUUUUAUAAAGCACAUGUGAUUAUACCGUUUAAGCUAUUUUUUGCACCUAUUAAAUAAAUUCGGAGAUUAUCAUUCAAAUGAAGUUAGCAAAUUAAAUAGAAAAAUCUAGACUUAAUAAGAAUGUACCUGAAAAUUAGAAGACACACUUUUGUACUAGCUUAACGACAGAAGCAUAUAUUGAAUGACUGAUAUUAGGUACAGUAAAACCUCACUAAAUUAAUACUCAAUAAAUUAAUAAUCUCUCUAAGAUAAUAUUUUUUUUGGGUCCCGGCUUGGGCCAAUAGAAAAAAUCACUUAUUUCGAUAAGUUAAUAUGAUAAUAUAUUUUCAACAAACCCCUAUAUAAAUAUAUGGUCCCAUCAAUAUUAUAAAUUAAUAAUUCCUUAAAAGUACAAAUAUAUCUAAGACGAUUUAGUGAAAUGUGAUUCUAUUGUGUUUUUUUUUUNNNNNNNNNNNNNNNNNNNNNNNNNNNNNNNNNNNNNNNNNNNNNNNNNNNNNNNNNNNNNNNNNNNNNNNNNNNNNNNNNNNNNNNNNNNNNNNNNNNNNNNNNNNNNNNNNNNNNNNNNNNNNNNNNNNNNNNNNNNNNNNNNNNNNNNNNNNNNNNNNNNNNNNNNNNNNNNNNNNNNNNNNNNNNNNNNNNNNNNNNNNNNNNNNNNNNNNNNNNNNNNNNNNNNNNNNNNNNNNNNNNNNNNNNNNNNNNNNNNNNNNNNNNNNNNNNNNNNNNAAUAGGACCUUAGUAAAGGUUAGGUGUGUCUUAGGGAUUUUGGCAUAGGCUGAGGGGGUACUUAUGCAUUUUCCCAAAUUUAAUUCUAGUUGAAGGUCAUCUUUAACUUUUCUUAUUACAUCAAAAAGUUCUGGUGUUGUUUUUUCGAACGACACCAUAAAAUUGUGAAUAGUUCUAGAUGCGAUAAGUGUUUUCUUACGCGUAACUGGUUGCAAAGGUAUUAUAUCAUCUUCAACUUCAUCAUCCACGUUGUUUUUUUAUGGUAUCCACAAUUUCUUCUAACUAAUGGACUCUGAACAUGUAUCACUUUCAUCCAGGUAAUCCAAAAGGUUAUUGAUGUUAAUUUUUUUGCGGUAACGGGGAUCAUUGAUCAUGGCCUCAAAUUCAUGAAUGACGUUUUCACAAAACACUCUUUAAAUUAAUAAAUAUUAAUUUAUUGAUUAAAUAAACCUCUACAAAAUAAUAAUAUUUCAUUGGCCCACCUAUAUUAAUUUAGUGUGAUUUUAUUAUAUGUUUAUACAGUGUAGUCUUGAAGAUUUGAUGGUAAAAACUCUUUCGUAUUCCUCAAUCACUUAAUUUGAUUCCUUUCAAGUUUUCAACUAUUAAAGUAGGUUCUCAUUUACUCCCCUAUUAUGUUAAUUUAAAUAUUAUUAUUUAAUUAGAUAUUUAAUUUAUGUUUAGAGUAAUUAUUUUAUUACAUUUUAAUUUAGUAUAGGAUCAAAAUGGUAAUCUAAUUUUACACGUGAUAGAUUUUCACUUUUGAUAAUAUAUGAUGAUGAUAAUUUAAUUAAGAUAUAUCUCUAUAAUUUCGAUCAUAGUCUAGGGGUAGUUGUCUCUUAUCCCAAUUUUAAUCACAUAAGUGGACACACUAUAUACUCUCACAUUUAUGUCUUACUACUUCUGAGUGUAUUCCAAUAUACACCCCCCACCCCCCUCUUAUUUUCAAUCAAAAGUAGUAUUCCUGAAGAUGGCUGAUGCCUUUCUGUCAUUUGUAGUUCAAAAAUUGGGUGAUCUUCUAAUACAGGAAGUUUCCAUGCUUACAAGUCUGAGAGAUGAAGUUAAAUGGCUGAAGAAUGAGCUACUCUUCAUGCAGUCUUUCCUCAAAGAUGCAAAACAAAAGCAAUGUGGAGAUCAAAGAGUUCAACAAUGGGUGUUUGAGAUCAACUCUAUUGCUAAUGACGUUGUUGGUAUACUCAAGACUUAUAACUUCGAGGUUGGUAAAAGUGAUGACAUUGGAUUUGCUAGUUGUCUCAAGAAAUAUAUUCUACAAUGUCGCCAAGAUGCCAAGGAGAUCCAAUCACUCAAGCAACGAAUCAUGGAUAUUUCUCGCAAACGAGAGACUUAUGGUAUUACAAAUAUCGAUAAUAAUGCUGGAGAAGGUCCAAGCAAUCAGCCUUCCAUGGUUACAACAUUGAGGAGAACUAACUCCUAUGUGGAUGAUCAGGGUGACAUUUUUGUUGGAUUUCAGGAUGUUGUAGAAAGAUUGUUGAAAAUUGUUUUUAGUUACUGCAGUAGACUUUAGUAUAAGAAGUUGCUAGGUUUAAGAUUUUUGAAUUUUAAAUUAUGCAGAUUUUGUGUUUAAGUUGGUUACUUCCAGUUGUUUUUUUUUCUCAAAUCUCUCAAGGUAGAGAUAAAAUAUGGGUACAUACUACCUUUCUCAGAUCCC
rnacentral:lncRNA from 1 species